rnacentral:lncRNA from 1 species
AUCACGCCUUCUUCCGGGUUCACCGGUGUAAAAGUUACUGGAUGGCCUCGAUUGAGAUCUGACAGCGCCUGAACAACUGCCAGAGGGCAAAUUUCAUUGUCUGGGCCCUUGCCAUAAGUUAAACCGCCGCCACCGCCACCAAAGAUGGCGGACACGACGUGGUACUCGACACCGGGGCGGAUUUCCUCCCCGUUGAUGUCGAGCACUGGAUUAGGCUCUUCAGUAGCAAAAGAAAGGAAAGAGUUGAAGAGUAGAAAUGAAAGGAAGAGUAGUAAUUUCUUCAUUGUGAGCGGCAAGGUGUGUACGAAGUCUAGGAAGUAUUCAGUGCAAUUGUGCUGAUGUCGAGCUAUGUUACUCGCUUUAUAUAGCUGAAUGAAUUCAGAGGUGAUGAUAAAGUUUUGUUUCGAACUACUGUGGUCCACCGUUACACGUGUGCUUGUACCGUUCAAUUGAUCUUGUAACUGCAUUUUUUCAUGGCAUUCAAACCGUUAGCGUCCAUUCGAUUCGAUGAAAUAUUGGUUUAUGAAGAAAUUUUCUGGAAAAUGCUUUACAUGAAGAAGAUUUAUUCUUGACAUCUUCUUGUGCUUGGUGUCAUUAAAUAUUUUUAAAAUUGAUCUCUAAAUUUGUAAUUUGAAGGGAAAAUAUUGUGAAUGGUGAAUGGUAAAUGGUGAAUUGGUAAGUAUUCAUUCAAUCAAAUAUAUACUACACUUAACUACAAGAUUACCAAAUUAUCUUUAUUUCAUACAAACACUAGCUAUUGGCCAAAUCUACCUAGACUAUUAGGUUUUUUUUUUCCAAUUAGAUUUUGUAUGUUUUUGUGUACAAUUGCCGAAUAACUAUUAGUUUGGAAAGUAAAGUACAUCUUGUGCUUCAGUGAUUUCUUUUGGUCGCUAUUGUUUUCGUUAUAUAUUUUCUUACUUUAAUUCUCAAUUUAGCAAUUUGUAUUGAGCGCUAUUUCAAUUUUCUAUCGUAUGAAAAAUUAAGUUCAGCCUUUAAAAUGAAUUUUCAAUGUAAGUUAGAAAACCUGGUAAGCUGAUGUCUUAAAUCCUCAACGAUAUUAAAUUUAUUAUUUCGUAAAAAUGAUAAUUAAGUGUUCACUUCUAAAUUUUAUUCCAAGGUUAUUGUUAAUUUUAGAAAAAUUAAUUUUGAAUCAAAAAAAUUUCUUUUAAAUAGGAAAAAGCUUUUAUUUUCUUUCUCUAAGAAAGAAAAAGCUAAGUGAGAAAAAUUUACCCCAUGAGAGCUUUAAAUGUAAAAUUAUAAGCCACAAAAGUUGGUUAAACAUUUAUGAACCUCAGGAGCUCAUUAAGCGUUUAUGAGCACGUGCUUGUUGUCAAAUGUCAAUUGUUAUUUAAUUACGAGAGGGCCAGCUGCGUUGUAAUAUAGGGACAGGUGUAAGGAUGGCAACGGGGGGACCUCAUUAAGCGUUUAUGAGCACGUGCUUGUUUUCAAAUGUCAAUUGUUAUUUUAUUACGAGAGGGCCAGCUUCGUUGUAAUAUAGGGACAGGUAUAAGGAUGGCAACGAGCUGCCCCCGCCCAUUCCCCCGUCCCCUGCUCCCCCCCCCCACCCCCGGCCCCUCGCAUUGUUUCUAGGUGCGGGCUAAUAAAAAUUUGUUAUUUAAUUUUAUUAUUAUUAAAUUUUAGUAAAUAAUUAAGUACUAAAAUAUUAACAUAUUACCAAAUUAUUAUUCAUUGUAAUUUCACAAUUGAAACUUAUAAAAACAAUCAAAUAAAAGUUAUUUGAAUACAAUACAACAUGAUGAAAUAAAUAUAACUAAAGUAGUCAACUUUUCACUUUUGACACAAAUACAAUUACUAAUUUAUUAUUGUGCUUGUGCCUUUUUUUGAGAAAAAAAUGUUAUUGUAUUAAGCAUAAUUAGGGAUUUAAUAUAAAUGUAUUAGGAAUAUAAAUUCAUUACCAAAUUAUUAUUCAUUGUAAUUUUACAAUUGAAACUUAUAAAAACAAUCAAACAAAAGUUAUUUGUAUACAAUCCAAUAUGAUGAAAUAAAUAUAACUAAAGUAGUCAACUUUUCACUUUUGACACAAAUACAAUCACUAAUGCAUUAUUGUGCUUGUGCUUUUUUGAGAAAAAAAUGUUAUUGUAUUAAGUAUAAUUAGGGAUUUAAUAUAAAUGUAUUAGAAAAUUUAGUAUAACCAAUUAAUAAUUUGUAUUAGUAUACAUAUAUAAUUAUUAGUAUAAUUGAUAAUAUUAAUUAUAUUACAUAUACUAAUAUACAUUAUAUAAUACAUAUAACUAAUAAUAUCAUUAUCAUAAAUUUGUAACUAAUUAAAUUAUAUAUUAUAUAUGCAAUUAUAUGCAUAUAUAUUUUAUAUAUUUAUUUUUUUAAAGCAGGUGGCGAGGUGGGGGUACACUCUCCCCCCCCCUGCCCCGUUUCUCAGCGGGGGGAAAAAUUUCCCCAGCCCCCACCUAACCCCCACCCCAUUAGCACCCCACGGGGCACCCAUUGCCAUCUUUAGAUAGGUGGUAUACUUUCAAUUGCAUCCGAUCCUCGGCCCUUAAGAAGCCCCAUUACCAGAUCUCACCCUAAAUAUUUGAUAUCUGUAAUAAAUUUGACAUCAGCAAACAAAUUUUUUUUUUCAUAAUAGGAGUAGUGAUUUUUUAGAAUUCUAAGUCAAGUAAAUCACAGUUAUUUGAGAGUGAUUUUCUGGAAUUCUAAAUCAAUAACAGAUAUUCAAAUUUAAAAAAGGGUGUAAACAGUGAUGGAAAACAUCAGAUGCUGCUGAGAGGGUUGAGAAUAAUUCUAAUUAUAGAUUUAUAGUUUAUAGAUUUUUGUUUGAUGUGAUUUGUCAUUGGUUGAGUUAUUGAUAGAGUGACUGGUUUCGUAAUAUUCAAGAGGAAGGAAUAACCAAAUUGAUUUCGGGAUAGGAUUGGAUUAAUAAAAUUAUGUGAGUUAUUUCUGAUGUCAAAUUUUUAGAAUGAAAUAUGACAAGGGAACUGAUGAUCGGAUACGAUUUUCAAUGGGAUCGGAACAAACUUUCAUAUCAAUCAGAUGUGCUUUUGUUUCUACUUAUAUAUUUUUGUAUCUGAUGCAGUCUUUACAUCCACGGCAAAUUCAAGCGCGUGAUUAUGCGAGACAAAAUUGUCCCUUUCGGGCAAUUAUUUGAUAAACCAAGAGGUGCAAGUUAUGCCACGUUUUCCUGGUACCAAUCCCCCCUCAAAUCACUGUACUGCCUCCAGGCUCUGGACUGCCACGGACCUCGGGCAGGAACGAUUGCACGGGCAAUCGUUUCUAAUGAUUUUGUGCAUUUUAUACAUCGCGUAAUUUUAUUUACACAAGGCGUAAUUUUGUUUGCACAACGUGUAAUUUUAGAAUAAAUUUUUGUGGAUCCUACACAUAUUUUUAAAAACUAGGUAUAAGAAAUGAUCUGAACAGUAUAAUUUUUUGGGGUCAAAUCUUAGCUGUGAACAGCUCAGGAGCGGUCCAUCUGAUGACCGCUCCUGCCCCUCAUUCGGACUCCCACCAUCCCUUAUCAACUCCGAAUCCUACUUCCUACCCUUUAUGCGGAUAUGGGGCAGGACCAGUCAUCAGAAGGACCGUCCCAGAUCAGUUCACGGUCCAGAUUUGAUAAAAAAAAAUUGUACGAUUUAAAUUUCAUCUUAUAUCUCAAUUUUAAUAAUAUGUGUGAGAUUUAUAAAAUUUUGUUCUAAAAUUACACGUUAUUGAAAAUAAGUUACACCAUGUGCAAACAAAAUUACGCGCUAUGCAAAAUGCACAUAACUACUAGAAUGGUUGCACCUGCAACCGUUCCUGCCCAUGUCCCCUUCAUGUAUACCCCAAUCAUCACCACUCCUUCCUUAUCUGCUCCUUCCCCAAAAGUCACUGCUCCCUUCGUACCCCAAUCAUCAUCACCAUAUUAUCCACACCUUAUUUCCUCUAUCUUCCCUCCCCAAAAAUUGUGACCGCUCCCUUCCUUCUCUGUGCCUCCAUAGACACCUACUCUUGAAAUCUUUCUCCAUUUUUAUAAGAAAAAGUUUACGUGGAUUCGAUUUGAUCGCUUACAAAUCGUUCACUAAUGUAACUCUUACAUCAAUAGCAAUUUUCAAACAAGCACCUUUCACUAUAAAUGUGGACUGUCAUUGUCAACUGACCCAACUUGUGUUGGUGAGAUCCUUCUCCGUUGGAACCACUGCCACUCUCCUUCUUCAUGAUUUCUUUCCCUCUAUCAUUUCCUAAGAUGCUUUAAGGUUAUAUAUAUAUAUAUAUAUUGUUUUGGGGUUAAGCUCAUAAUUACUGAACCCCAAAUAUAUAUAUCCAAAAUAAUAAACCAAAUCCAAGCAGAAAUUACCAAAAAAGAAAACUGAAGAUGUGGGGAGGGGGUUUUGGGAAAUCUUACAAGUGUGGGAUGGAAUUUGGGUAAGAAAGGCAAAAGAAACCUGAUCUUGAAAAUCGUUGCUUAUUAGAUUUUGAUUUGUUCUCGUAUGUAUUUCAAAAGAGAAAUUUAACAAGAUUUGGAAAAUAAGAAGAAGAAGAAGAUGAUGAAUGAGAGACAUGGGUGUGCAGAGCGUUGCAAAGUGAAGCAAAGACUUAUGCUGAAUGUUUUUACUUUUCUGUGAGUUUUGAUGAUAUGGCAAUUUCAUCGUUACCUAAGUGGCCCGUAGACCAAGUCUACACAAGUUGUUGCCAUCUAUCCUCAGCCAGCUAACUUGUGUGAUCGCGUCCGCAUUAGAUUGAUGCGCGAGGACCAAUUUCAUAUAUACAAAUAAUUUCUUUUGAAUCUACAAAAUGAUAGAAACCACAAGUUACGUUGUACAUGAGUAAUAAUUUCUUUUGAAAACUGUCACUAAAACUAGUUUUCAGUGGCACUUUUUAUGUUCUUUUUGGGUUUUUUUAUUAUGGUUUAGAAAACAAAUUUUGAGAUUUUUAUUACAAAAUUAAUUAUUUUUAAUUGUUGAAGAUUUCAUUGUCUAGUGGAUAAGUUUUUUUUUUUAAUUUUAAUUAGAGAUCUUAGGUUCAAAUCCCCUAUUCCCCUCCAUACUUCUUAAAUCACACCUCUCUUGCAAGAAAAUUAUUUUUUUAAAACAAAAAUAAUUCAUGUUCUUAAUAGCUAAUAGAGUACAGGAUGAUAUGAAUUUAAUUAAUUUUUAAAAAAUAUAGUUUACUUAAUUACCUUUACAAUCCUUAUUAUCUUUUGUAUUAAAAAAAUUAUUAAGUCUUGUAGCAUCGUAAGAUAUGUAAUAUUAAAUUUAGUACCACGACGUGGUCAUGACUCUAAGUCAUCAUGGUCAUGACACUUAAAGUUACUCUAUUGUGACACGCAUGUGAUAAAUGGCAUUAUCUUGUGAUACUUAUUAGUUAAAUGUCAUAAUAAUGUCACUAAAUCUUAUUUUUCUGACAAUUUAAACAAAGUGUCAUUAAGCAAUAACAACAGAUGCUGUUAUAAUCUCUUAUCUUGGCAUUAUAAUUGAAAAUAUCAUUAAUUUAAUGCCACUAAAUUGCUUUUCUCUGGCAAUGAGCUCAAGGCUACAGGUUAAUCUUGUUGCGUCAAGGAAUUUUCUGUAUCUCCACAAGUUAAAUAUUUUUCGCCAAUUUUAAGAGAAAUUUUCCUUGGAGCAAAAGGCCAAAAUAGUCCCAAAAAUAUUUUUCCAAAGCUGCAGUAGUCCUUAAGUUCCACCAUUACCCUGCUGGGAAAAAAAUUUAAAAAAAAAAGGCGCAAUAGUCCCUAAACUUUAAUUGGGGCUAAUUUAGUCCUUAAACUAUAUUUGUCUAGCGAAUUUAGUGCUUUUUGGGUUGAGCCACCAAUAAUGCAAAAUUCGGGGCAAAAAAAGAAAGCAUACAUUCAACAUUCAUUAAAAUCAUUAAACAAGAUUUUGACGGGACAAUAUAGCAUCGAUUGGAGGAUCGAAAGCACAGGUGCAUUUUGAAACCCUACAUCCAAAGUCCUUAUCCACCAUUCAUCUUAAAAUCCAUCCAAAAAGACACCAGUUAAUCUAAACCCAGAUCUUCGUCCGCUGCAUUAAUGAGCAACAAAGUGCAUAUAGGAGGUAGCAUUAAUGAGCUUUUGAAGAGUAAGUUUCCUCACUCGUAUACCUCCAAAUAGCAUCAAUUAGGUUUGGUGCAAUGUUUAUGAUUGCUCGUCUGGGCGUAAACAAUUUAUGAUGUUUAGUGCUUGUUCAUUGAAGGGAUUUGGUUAAUGUGGGUCAAAGUUGAAUGAACUAUGUAUCAGUGAAUUACUAAUUUUAGCCCACGGGAUGCGACUAUUUGUUUGAUUGUUUACCCUUUGCUUUCAUGUUCCUUUUUUUUAAGACAAUGUGGUUCUCAGUUCUAAUCGAGUGUAUCUCUAUUGUUUAUAACAGGUGAAGGUGGCAAUAAUGUCUGCCUUAAAGUCCAUCAUGGUGGGGUGAUUGUGGAGGAAAAUAUCAAAAAAAUAUGCCUGUGGAUUUUUCGAUAGUUUGGGUGGGUGUAAUGUUGAAACAAUGAACUUGUCCAUAUUGGAACAUGGUGCCACCGACAGUGGCGGAGGGAAUGGGGAAGGGACCCCUAAGUCUUGAGAUUACUUUUUAAUCCCUAAGAAAUUUUAAUAACUUUUAUUAGAGAUCUUUUCUUUGUCCCCUCUAAAAUAUUAACAAAGUUUAAUCACCUAGUUUUUGCCUUCUGAAAUUUUGAACUGUUAUUCAUCUUUGAAUAUUUUUGACCUUGCAUUAUUGUUAGUUGAUUACUUAUCAAUUGUUUUAGUAUUAUAUUUUAAAUUGUUAAAAUUUUAUUGUCAUCUUAAGAAAAAUCUCGUAUAAGCUAAGUUGCGGACACCUUUCAAUUAACUGUUUUAUUUUAAUGUUCAUUAUUGAUCAGCCACAUUUCAUAGUUAAGUACUUCAUUCUACAUUAUGCCAGCUUUUCGUGUAAAACGAGGAAACUAAUAAGAAGUAAAUUUUAGAUAUUCUCUUGCUAAACAUUUAAAACCAACAUUUAUCGCUAAUUAAUAAUGUUAUCUCUUUACUUCUUUUUUUUUUUAACUUUGAGAUAUGAUUGCUCUCCAAAGUUUGAUAUUACAAAAUAAUCAAGUUAUAUUUUGUCUCCUUAAUAAUGUAAGAAUAAAAAGUUGGAAAAUUGAGUAGUUGUAUUUAAUUAAUAUAUUAAUGCAAAUUUUUAUUUAUUACACAAUGUAUAGCUUCCUUAUUAUGUUUCAUUAAAUUAAGUAUUACUAUUACUUUGUCAAAAAGUCCAAUGACAAAACGAACUUGUUAAUAUAAAAUUUUAAUUAAAAAUACUUUUCUUCAAUUGCAAUUCAAUAGCUAGAUUGAAUAAAAAAUAUAUGAUGCAAAAUAUGGGUUGCUUAAGGGCCAUGUUUCAAGUUUCAAGUAGUUCGAGUUUUUAUUAAUAGCUUACUAGUUUAUUUUCAAGAUUUCUAAUUAAUUUGGUAGGAACAGGUCCAAGAUCUCAUGUUGAGUUGGAUCCGAAUUAGUUGUCAAGUCCAUUGGUUAAUUGAAUCAUUUUGUUAGUUAUUUCCUUGUGUAAUAAUCAGCCAGCAAUAAGUUUGUUAAUUGGGACGUGAGUUGGUUGAUUUAGCUAAGUUAAUUGAGUCCAUUAGUUCAGGUAUAGUAGGGUUAUAAAUAUUUGUAUCAUUCCAUUCAAAAAAAAAGAAGAAAGUUGAAUAAACGUUUUUCAAAGAGUUUUCUCUUGGCUCGUUGCCAACGCCCCCUUUGAAUACUUUAGAUUGGUUCUUGAGUGUUCAUCUGUGGCUUAUUAAUUAAAAAACAUGUUUGAUUGUGGCACUUUUCUACUGAUAAGUAUAUAUUUUACGUGAUUUUAUUGUGUUUUAUUAGUUAGUUUUGGUGUGUUUUAUUUAGUUUCAUAGCUAAUUAACAAAGAUUCUAGUGAAAAUAUGCAUUUUAUGGUUUAAGUGGUAAAAAUUACAUUUUUAUGGAUUUUAAUGAUAAUAGGUUUAAUGAUUUAAUCAUCAAAUGGAAUGAAUUGAGAAGAGAAUUGGAUGAUUAUUGAUGAUUUGAAGUGAUUCAGAGAAGACAUGAAGUGCAAAACAUUCAAAAGAAGAAAUGCAAGUGAAGACAGUUUCGAUACCUUAUGGUAUUUCGGCUAUAUAUUGAGCUAGAAUGAUCAGAUUGAGGUGAUUCUUGAACCAUUUUGAAGCUAAGAGAUAGAUCUAUAUUUGGUAUGAAGAUAUCGAAGUCCAGUUCAGCCAUUUUCAUUGUCAAAAUGUCAAAAUACAAAAGUACGACUCUGUUGUCAAAAGCUGAAAUAGAGCUCUAACCAGUUGAUGGUAUUUUGAUCAUAUCUCAAUCGACAGAGUUCCAAAUGGGAUGAUUCAUGAGGCAUUGGAAAGCUAACUCAAAGGGUUAUAACUUUCGUGUUUUGUAAAAGAACUAGUUCAACCUCCAUCAUUGAGAAAAUAGUAGUUGAAGUGGUACCAAAUGCAUAGAAGUGAAAACACGACUUCAUGAUUACGUGGCUUGAAGUCGCGUAUUCUCACUUGAUUGCUGCAAUUUGCCCAUCAACUUACCUUGCUUUCACACAACUUUUCCAACUCAAUUCCACCUAUCAAUCUCGGCUGUAUCUGAUCAAGAAAAGGUUGGAAAGUUGGAAAGACAACUCAUAGAAGUUUCAAGAGUCCAAAAUGACAACUAAAAACAACUCAUUUGGCUCUUGAAUUCUCCACAAAUAGAGGCCUUUGGAGAACAUUUUCACAACUUUGGAAGGCUAGAGAAACUGUGAGGACUUGAAAAUUUGCUUAUAUUUUCUUAUAAGUCUCCUUUAUUUUGAAUAAGUUAAUUUAUAAUUUCUUUAAUACUAAUUACUUCCCUUAAUAGUUGUAAUAAAUAAUAGAGUCGAGAGUUUUACUUUUACUUUUAAAGUUAGUGUUAGUUAGGGUUUUGGUGCAUUGUUAUAGUGUGAUCAAUUGAUGAGGUGUGUGUACUAAAUUUGGUGGAUAAGAGCGGAUAUUAAGUAGGAGGAAGUAUGUGAUUAAAAGUGCUAAAAGUACAUUAGUGAAUCAUAAGUUAAAACAAAAGUACAAGAGAGACAAAAAAACAGGUUUGAACCGACUCGCGCCGUUUGUACCGAUCAAAGACACCACUUGACUGAGACUUUCUUUUUCUAAUCUUCUUAUUUUUCUUUUAUUUUCCCUUCCCUAAUUUUGCCCUAGGGUUGGCUGAAAUUCUUGACCAAAAAAGAGAGGAAAAGAAAAAAAAAAGGAAAAAUGAUUGAAUGCCAAGUGUUGGCAAUCAAGGCCAACUUUGACCAAACCUUUCUUCCAUUCUUAUCUUUCUUUUCACUAAAAAUUCCCUUUAUUUCCUACUAGUUUGGCCAACCCUUAGAGAGAAAAAAAGAGAGGAGAAAAUUUCACAAAUCAUCCUGAUCUUGCCUUGAUUUAGAAAGAAAUCAACAAUAACCACAAAUCUAAUCCGAACAAAGGUGCAACAAGGUGACAACGAAGCUUGAGGUGGAGUGAUUUUGCAUAGGCAGCCUUGGUAUUGUAUUUUUCCUUGAGGUUUAAAGGUAUUAAGUUGGAAAAUUUUCUUUCUCUUUCUUAUCUUGCAAUUUAUGGGGAAGAUGACUUGAAAUUGGAAGUUUUGGGGAAAAUAACCUAGAUUUGUGAAGAUUGGUGAAAUUUCCCUCCUAGGGUUUUAAUUUGCAGCCUUGUUUCUUAUUUUUCAGCUAUGGUAUGAUGGUAUCUAGCCUUGUUAAUGACUUGUAUGAAGAUUAGGAAUUUCCAACUUUAGUAGAGAAUUUUCCAGCUUUGAUAUGUGAUGUUUAUAUGUUAGAGAUGAGUUUAAAUUAGUUGGUUUGGUGGUCUUGUAUAAGAACCUCUUUUUCCUUAUAACUUGUGGACUUGAUUUGGGUUGUUUUGCCAUGGAGCUUAACCUUGGAAAUUGAAGGGAAAACUAGGAAAAAACAGGAGAGAUGCUAGUCGUUUUUUUUUUCUUGUAGUUCAUGUGAGUGGAAGCGAUAUUGAGGUGUGAAUUUAGGGCAUUUUUGUCUUCCUCUUGCAUAUGAUUUUACUCAAAACACUUGUUACAGGCUAUUUCUUUGUAUGUGUGUUAGUUUUGAGCCAAAACAAAGAGGUUUAAGAAAAGAAAAACCUAGUUUUUCAAACUAAUAGUUUGUUGAAAAAUUUUCGCAAGAAACCCUUCGCAGUUUUGGGAAAUUAACUAUAACUUCGUAUAGGAAAGUUAGAAUUGAGUUCCGUUUAUUGCGUUUGAAACUAGACUCAUAGAGCUUUCAACAGUGUAAAAAUCAAGGGUUGGUUCAACUCCUAUAAAUACCAGCAAAUCUACAAAAUUUCUUGAAAAACCAUGACUGUUCUGUCUUUGAACAUGAGACAGUAGUGAAUUUGAACUGAAAUUUGACUAACUUAUGAGUUGAAUUUCAUGAAGCUGUCUUCUAAAGCCUAUUAUUAGUUCAGUUUAUUUUCUAACGGUAUAAGAUUUAUGAUUUUUUGACUUACGGAACUCAAAUUAUACUUUUUCAAAAAAUGUCACCAAAGCUGGAAAUUUUAUCAAAUGGAUUGAGUGGGACUUGGAAAACUUUGGAAAAACAUUUUCUGGGUUUUAAACCGUAUUUUGGUGAGAUUUUGGAUGCUUAAAUUACUCUCCUCACUUUUAGAAUACAUUUAGAUUUUUCCUUGAUUUGCAUCUUCAAAUUUGCCCUUGAACCCUACGUGUUUGAGAGGCCAUCUUGUAUAGGCUUGUGGCUCAUAGUUGAGCCUAAUAUGUGAAUUUUGUUCACUUAAGUUUUGGAUGGUUGGACUAUAAUAUCUUUAUCUUGGUUGUUCUUAGGGUUUGUUGGUGAGCACGGGCAUUACCCGGGGACGAGCUUUUGACAUUUACUCUACUAACAUCAGUGAGUGUUCCUUGCAUGUGUGUGCUUUAAAUGACUAUGUGAAAUGUUGUGAAUGUUGCCAAAAUGUUAAAUGCUUUCCAAUGAUUGCUAAAUAGAUUUUCGAUGAGCGAAUGUGUACUUUAUCGCACUCGACCCAAGCAAAAGUGAAUUUUCAAUGAUUGAAUGCUACUUGUGCAUGAAUGUAAGCCUUUUGGCUGAACUGGACACUUGCCCUUCAUUGCCAGUCGACUCAAGUCAGAAGUGGACUCGGUCGGGCGGUUGGUGACCCUGGGACAAUGUUUGGUAUACUCGAGUAUUACCGCGAAAUCUGGUGGAGAACUGGCUAGUGAAUUCAAUGCAAUGAAAUCAAUGAAUGAAUGACAAGAACACUGAAGGAGUUUUCACUUGCAAAUAUUUUCUAAUGUCGGAGGGAUAAGGAAAAUGGUUGGUAAAUGAAUGAAUGACUUGAAUGAGUGGCUCCAAUUAAACACGUAUCCUUUCAAUGAAUGAAUGAUUGAUUCUUGAAUGACUGCUUAUUACUGUGCUAAGUGUGCAAAGUACUAAAUGUAAAUGUUUCCGUGUUUCGCCUGCUUGAAUGCUUAUUUGGGAAAUUCACUGGGCUUUUAGCUCAUUUCAUUAGUUUAUUUUCCUUACAGGAGUGGAGGCUGGAGCAAGUAAGCGUGAACUAGUGUGUAUAAGUUUCUUGUACUUGCACUUUUAUGGAUUGAAUGUAUGUGGAAUAUUUGGCAAUGUAAAGCUACGUUUUAUUUUUGGCUUGUAAAUGAAGUUGAAUUAUGGUUGAUUUGAGGACCUUCUAUGCUAAUCUAGAGGCGUGAAAAACUAUUUCCAAAAUAUAAGUCAGUGAGUCCUGGUGAAAGUUGGGCAGGCGGUCCGCCAAACCCUUGGGUACGCCUUAGAGGAAGGUGGGGUCAUCGCAGAAACUUACUAAAAAUGUAGUCUUCACUAGAGUUUCCUUUAUUCAUUAGUUAGGGUAUUAUAGAGUAGUUAAUGUAGUGUUUCCUUCUUGUAUUUGUAAUUAGAUUUGGAUUCAGAUUGAGGAGCAAAGAUAGAGAGUUUGAAACUCAUGUGACAAGGGUGACAUCUCUCCUAUCACUUUCUCUUUUGUAUUUAAGUUCAUGUUUAGCUAUAAUACAAGUUUGGAUUUGUUUUUCUUCAUGUUUUGCUAAAAUUUAUGCCUAGAAUUAUAGUUGAACUUGCUAUAUCUUGUUAGUGAUAUUUAUUUGGUUAUUUGGUAAUAUUAUGUUGAGCAAGUUAUUUAUCACUUUUGCUUAUCUAAUCAUGAUUAACCGGCCAUUAGUUGUGAUUAUCUAAAGGUGUUAAGUUUGCUAUGAAAAUUGAAAUUUAACACUAGUUCAAGGAAGUGAUAAACCUAAGUAGUACACUCGCAAGAGUAGAGGUACACCUUUGUGGCUUAAGUGACUUGUUCCAUGUAAUUUCAUAGAAAAAAUGAGCUUGUAGUUAAUUUCAUAACUACGAGAGUAGGUAUGGUUUAGCUACAAGUAUAGUUGAUUUACUACGAGAGUAGGUUUCACAUAUAUUAGGAAAUUACGCCAUAACUAGACAAGAUAAUAGCAUUCACUUAACCAAUAAUCUCAUUAGCGAGAGUAAUGAGGAAUUCCAUACCUCUAGGAGUUUUCUAGUGUUAAUUUUAUUACUUUUACUUCAUGCUUAUAUUCUAAAUAAUAAAGGAGUUUAAAAAUUACCGGUAAUUGAAAAUCUUUCCUGUGGGAUCGACCCUUAAUACCUUAUACUCGCUCACGAUUCGUAUGCUUGGGAAAAAUUGCGUAUGGAGCAUUUAGGAUUUAUAAAUGUAAAAUUUGAUUGUGGAUGAGCUAAUUGUGUAUGUAUACCACGCGCACGUCAUCUACCAACCUUAAUUCGUCUUGAGCGGUCCCUGAUCGAAUUAGGUUCCAUCCCUUAUACCAAAAUUCAUUAACCACAUGAUUAAUGGGUUAAGGUUCUUUUGUAUUUAUAACCUGGUCAAGACAGAUCCUUCAACCCCCCUUUGAAUACUUUAGAUGGGUUCUUGAAUGUUCAUUUAUGGCGUAUCAAUCAAAGAACACGUUUGAUUGUGGAGCCUUUCUACCAACCUUAAUUCGUCUUGAGCGGUCCUUGAUCAAAUUAGGUUCCAUCCUUUAUACCAAGAUUCGUUAACCACAUGAUUAACGGGUUGAGGUUUUUUUGUAUCCAUGACUUAAUCAAGACAGAUUCUUCCGCUACCUGAUCGAUUCGAUUUCUUCUCGAUGGUCCUUGGAAAAUCUUAUUCGUAUCAGUUGAUAUCAGAGUUUUGGCUCUUGAUCCAAGUUAAUAUCCCUUUUUUUUCUUGUUUUCCUAUUUGUUUUUUAUACCAAAACCCUAGUCGUCUUUUGAUUUGAAAGAAACAAAAAAAAAUUUCCAUUCUUAUUUUCUUGAUUUUAUCGUUUGAGUCUAACAUAUCCCCUUGAUUGAUUGAGAUUGGAAUUUCUUGAUGUGAUUAAGUUCUUAGAAACAAGUUUUCUAAGGGUUUAACUCCUAUUAAAUUUCUUUCAAGUUAAGUCGUAACCCUGUGUUGAGUCAUCAAAAAAAUUUUUUGGGUAUUGUUCAUGUUAAUGUAGUGAUUGCUAUUCAUCGUUCCUAUUGCAUACUGUUCAUCAUAUUGUAGCAUCACUCAUCAUCCGAGUUACUGUUCAUUUGAAUAAAAAAAAAUAUUCUGUUUGGGGAUUUGUUUCCUAUCGCAAGUUGUGUUCUUGGUUGUUGUCCAUUUCUAGUUUUCUUGUUGUUACCCGAAAUUCAGUUUGUGUCUUAUUUUUAUUAUUAAUCAUUGUCUUGUUGUCUAGAGUCUUGAGUUGUUUUAAAAAAAAAAGAAAUUAGUUGUACCAUGUGUUUGUUCUUGUGUCAAGCUGCUGGAAAUUAUUGAAUUCUUGAACUUUGUUUGAGAUUCUUGGUGAAAUCUUGAAAAAACUUUGGACUUUCUUGAUUCCAAUCUUGAAAUCUUGAAGUUCUUGAAUUAUAUUCUCGGAUUGUGGUAAAUCUUGGGCCGAAUUUUGAUUAAUCUUUGAGUUCUUGAAACAACUACAAGUUCUUAAAAAAAUCCGUGGCUGCUAGCUUUGUCUUGAAGCUGCAUCGAGAAAAAAAAAAAAAGAAACAGAAAUGAAAACGCAACUCAAUUCAUUCAGUUGAAAGCCGUGAGCCCUAAACUUUUCAAAUCAGAUUUGGAAACAAAACGUUGUCACAUUCCAUUUCCUAGCCGCACAAGGAUUUGAUUUUCAGCCUUGUUGACUUCAAAUUUCACUCCUAUUUGGGCUGGGAUUGAAAUCGUUUCGCACCUGAUUUCCAAAGGGGAAAGAGUAUUUUUCAACCAAAACAACUGCCCUUUAAACACCAUAACAGCCAAGUACAACAAACACCAAAAAUUCCAGCUUCACCAGCAAACCAUUGCUUCGGGUUUAACUAUUCAAAAUUCCUGUGAAUUGUCCAGCAAUUUUUACUUCAAUUUAUGAGUAUUUUUCAGUCAUUAUAGUGUCCUAAAGUCAUUUCCUUGAGUUAAAAUCAGUCCAGAUCAGUUGCAUUCUUAGCUCAAACCUGCUAUAAUCUUACUUCGUCUAAAGGUGAUAAGUUGGUCAACACUAGAAGGAGUUCGAAUUUCUUCAAGGUGUGGAUCAAGCGGCCUUGCGAACUUAAUUGGUGAGAUCAUUAGAGUGUUAGACAAUUUGAGUGAUACACGAGGGUUGAGUGUAAACACGUGAGGGAGCUAGUGAGGAUAAAAAUUUUCUCUACUAACUGUUUUGCAGGUUAGGUCAACAUGUCAAAGGAAGGUGAAACUUCUACUUUUGAUCCUAUGCUUCUUAUGGAUGCCAUGACAAGUCAAUUGCACAAAAUGAUGGAGGAGGAGCAAGUAUACUACUCAUUCUUUCUUUCACCAUUUUUGCCCAAGAUUUGAGUACAAAUCUUAUUUUCAAGAGGAGAGGAAUGAUGCAAAAUAUGGGCUACUUAAGGGGCCAUAUUUCAAGCUUCAAGUAGUUCGAGUUUUUAUUAGUAGCUUAAUAGUUUAUUUUUCAGAUUUCUAAUUAAUUUGGUAGGAAUAAAGUUGGUCCAAGAUCUCAUGUUGAAUUGGAUCCAAAUUAGUUGUCAAGUCCGUUGAUUAAUUGAGUCGUUUUGUUAGUUAUUUCCUUGUAUAAUAAUCAUCCAGCAAUAAGCUUCUUAAUUGGGUCGUGAGUUAGUUGAUUUAGCUAAGUUAAGUGAGUCCAUUAAUUUAGGUAUAGUAGGGAUAUAAAUAUUUGUAUCGUUCCAUUAAAAAAAAGGAAGAUAAACGUUUUUUAGAGGGUUUUCUCUUGGCUCGUGACCAACCCCCCUUUGAAUACUUUAGAUGGGUUCUUGAGUGUUAAUCUAUGGCUUAUCAAUCAAAAAAACACAUUUGAUUGUGGUGCCUUUCUACCAACCUUAAUUCGUCUUGAGUAGUCUUUGAUCGAAUUAGGUUCCAUCCCUUAUAUCAAGGUUUGUUAAUCACGUGAUUAACGGGUUGAGAUUUUUUUGCAUCCAUAACCUGAUCAAAACAGAUCUUUCUGCUGUCUAAUCGAUUCGAUUUCUUCUCGAGCGAUCUUUGGAGAAUCGUAUUCGUAUCAAUAUAUAAAACAAAUAGUUGACAUGCAAUUUAUAAGUCUGAAAAUGAUGCACAUAAAAAAUAUUUUUUUUUACACAAUGUACACCUGCCCCCUCCCUUCUGCCUCCCCUGCCCCUGCCGCAGUAAUCUUGACUCCGCCACUAACCACCGAUCUUGGGUAUCCAGAAACUACAAAUUUGCAGUAUAGAGAUCUUGAUAAAGAUGUAAAUAUGAUUCUUAGAACUCUAGAGAAUGAAGGGAGUGUUAGUUACAAUACAUGGUUGCUCAAAGGGCAAAGGAAAAAGGACUAAGGAAACUACGCAUGCGCUUUCAAUGCUAAAAAAUAUGUUACUUCAUUUCUUAUUUACACGUGCUCAUUUAUGUGCAUCUUUUGCAGGCUCGUGAACCCGAAAAUGCCACUGAAGAGUGAUUGUAAGGGCUCUAAUGUAGCUUCUAUAGAUGUUGCUGAAGAAGUUAAAGUCUAAAGGGAAUUUUGUUUUGGCUAGAAACUUCUAUUGUAACUACAAACCUUUGACGUAUGUUUGUGGCCUUGUAACUUUCUAUAGUUAUAUAUAUUUUUUAUGGUUUUUAACUGAAAUUGAAUGUAGACUUUAUUUUAGUCGCAUGCAGACUUGUAUUCUAAUAACUAGAAUUUAUAUGCAUUGCUAAAUUAUACACUACUUGAGUGAUGAAUAAAUCUUACCUAUAUAAAGGAGAAUAAAUAUAUUGUGAAUAGUAAUGAACACUAGAUGGGCCAAUUAUACAGUUGUUUGCGUGAGUGUCCACGGGGGUUAAUUUCAUUUUGUUCCCUCAAACUAUAUGCUAAAUUUCAUUUCAAUCACUAAACUUCAAAAUGGAACACUUAAACUAUAAAAUUCGUUCUAGUUAAGUAAAAUCGGUGACAGAAUCCUAAAAACUAACUAUCUAUUAAGAGUUUGGACAACACGCUCGGUCGAUGUUGUUGUGCAAGCGUUAUAAACCAAAAUGAUAGGGACAUAAAUGUAAUUUCAUUUUUUUCCUUUUUCAUCCUCCCUUUUUUCCCUAUUUGUUUCAUUUGUGAUUUCCCUGUUUGUUUCUUUUUUUUUUUGUCGAAACGAUAAGAUGAUUUCAUUGCUUUCAUGGUAAAAAAAAAUUACAAGUGCGAGCAACGGCUCGAUCGGAACUCUACAAACAAGUGUUCAAAGACACUGAGGAAGCUGUCGCUCCUCAUCCACAAUAAUGCUUAACGCAUCAACACUCAAUGUUUUACUGACUGUCAUAUUUUCUUCCCUAUCCAAAACAAAAGAGCACAUGCAAAACAAUCUCUGUAACUGAGAGAUGUCUUCAAGUACUGUUGCCAUUUUGCUGUUUGCUGGGCUCUGAUAUUUUAAUUGUCUCCACAGUUCUUUGUUACAAAAUCUCAGCUUAAGAUUGCUCCACUUGCGUUGUACAGCUUUACACAACACCAGCUUCAGUGCCAACGCUUCAUCUAGGAUUUUGUUUCCAGAACUAAUGUCUUUCAGUGCCCACCCUAUCAUCGUGUUCCUUGCAAAAAACUGAACUGUGACUCCAAUUCCCACAAACAACUGCCCUUGCUUCGUGGUUGUAUUCACCUCCAUUAGCACUUCUCCUUCAUUUACAUAAUUCUGAUGCUGAACAUCUUGCCUAGGGACUGUUUCAAACGUGCUCUCUUCUUUUUCUUUGUACUCUAUCUGCUGCUGCUCUAACCAUUCCAAAUGAGCUUUCCUUAUAGAUUUGAAGGGGGGAUCGAAGUUAGCAUUCUCGAAUUCUAUUUUGUUUCUUUCCUUCCACACCUGCCACAGGAUGUUUGCAGUUAAUCCAAUGUGUUCCAUCCCUUCUGACCUGUGCCUUGCUUCAGAGAUUCUUAACCACCACCUUUUGAAAUCUCCCUGCUGCUCCUUUGCUCCAUCCCACUGAAUGGGAGAUGCCUUCCAUAUGUUUUCCGAGUGGGGGCAAUUCAGCAAAAGAUGUUCGACUGUCUCCUGUGCUAAACCACACAUCUUACAUAUCGGAUCACCCUCCCCCGUUCGUCUAUUUACUGCUGCUUUCACAGGCAGAGCACCUUGAAUGCAUUUCCAGAUGAAGAAUUUGAUUUUAUGUUUGAUGUUUAAGCUCCACAGUGUAUUCCACAUCUGAGCUAACUCCGAAUCACUUGCCGAAUAGCUAGAGCUAGCUCCUUCCUGCCUGCACCUGCCUCCCAUCCUGUGUUGCUUCAUCAGAAACUUAUAACCAGAAUUGACAGUGUACAUCCCUCCCACCUUUGGUUGCCAAUAAAAGCUAUCUUCCCUAUCAGCUAAACUCAGAGGAAUAGCUAAAAUUUUUUGUGCAUCAUUGCUAUUGAAGGAUCUGAAUAUGAUGUUCCUGUUCCACCUAUGCUGACAAAUAAGCUCCUCCACUUUUUCCAGCUCACAAUGAAUCCCUCGACUAGUAGUUGGCAUCCCUGUAUCAGUGUCUGGAAUCCACUUGUGGCUCCAUAUAUUUGUACUCCUUCCAUUUCCUAUCCUUCUUAUAAUUCCAGCAUUGAUUAAAUUUCUUGCCCCCAUGAGUCCUUGCCAGAUCCAGGAUGCAUUUCUGGGGAGACUACACUGUAGUAUCGAUUCCUGAGGAGAAUAUCUGGCUUUCAACACCUUACUAACCAAUAGAUUUGGUUUAGUAAGUAUCCUCCAAACUUGCUUCCCUAACAGUGCUUGAUUGAAAGCUUCGAUAUCCUUAAAUCCUAAACCUCCUGCACUUUUUGCCAUUGCCAAUUUUUCCCAAGACAGCCAGUGCAUUUUGUUCUUACCAUGAGCUUCACCCCACCAGAAGUUGGCCAUCAAAGCACAUAUAUCUUUACACAAUCGUCUGGACAGCUUAAAACAAGACAUCACGUAUGUGGGCAUUGCCAUAACAACUGCUUUCAGCAACACUUCCUUACCUGCUGGACUCAAAAGUUUGUUCUUCCAAUUCUGACAUCUUCUCCUUAUAUUAUCUCUCACAAAACCAAAAAUCUGCUCUUUAGAUCUUGAUACUACCAUAGGGAGUCCCAGGUAUUUGCCUUGCUUAGCCUCUACCAUUCCUCCUAAUGCCAGGCAUAUCUCCUUCUUCUGCACAUCAUCCACAUUUUUGCUAAAAAACACUGCUGACUUGUCCAGAUUGACUAACUGUCCCGAGGCAUUUUCAUAUGUAUUUAGCACCUUCAUAAUUUCCACAGCCUCAUUCUUAUUAGCCUUACAAAAUAUUAUAGAAUCAUCCGCAAAGAACAGAUGUGUUAACACUGGACCAAGUCUGCUGAUUUUGAGUCCCUGAAUUCUUUUGCUUUCCUCAGCCCUUCUUAGCAAAUUGGAGAAGCCCUCAGAACAUAUUAGAAACAGGUAUGGAGACAGAGGGUCCCCCUGCCUUAUCCCUCUUUCUGGUGUCACAAAGCCUUUAACCUCACCAUUACAGUUGAAAGAGUAACUCACAGUCUUCAAACAGCUAUGAAUCCAGUUAAUCCAUUUAGAGCAAAAACCCAUCUUUUCCAUCAUUUUCAACAAGCAUUGCCACUCCACCCUAUCAUAAGCCUUUGCCAUGUCCAAUUUGAUAGCCAUGUAUCCCUCUUUCCCUUGUCUUUUAUUUUUAAGAAAAUGCAUGUACUCGUGAGCAAUGAUCACAUUAUCUAGAAUCUGUCUUUCUGGGAUGAAAGCAGAUUGAGUUUUGCUAAUACACAGAUCCAGGACAGAUUUCAGUCUAUUUGCCAGAAUUUUUGAUAUGAUUUUAUAAAGCACACUACACAGACUGAUAGGCCUGAAAUUUUUCAGAUUGGUUGGGUUCAAAGUUUUGGGAAUAAGGGAUAUAACAGUGUGGUUGACUGAUUUGAGCAUGUGGCCUGAGUGGAAAAAAGCUUUAAUCGCAAAAAUGAUGUCACUUUUAAUAGUAUUCCAGAAUUUCUGAAAAAACAAAGGAGUCAUUCCAUCUUGUCCAGGGGCUUUUUCUGGAUUCAUAGAGAACAAAGCAUCAUGAAUUUCUUCCUCCAUAACUUCCUUGGAUAACUUAUCAUUCAUCUCCUGAGUAAUAUAGUGUGGAAUUCCCUCUAAGAUUUCUGUCAUCUCAUCCUUCCCACCACUCGUAAACAGGUCCUUAAAAUACUCAGAAAGUUCAGUCACUACCUCCUCUUCAUUCACAGUCCAAGAACCAUCCUCUCUUUGUAACCUGUUCAAUCUAUUACUCACACGCCUCCCCUUGACAAAAGAGUGAAAAUAUUUAGUAUUUUUAUCCCCUUCUCUCAACCAGUUGAUUCUGGACUUCUGGCUCCAGAAAGCUUCUUCCUCCUUGUAAGCGUUAGCCAGCUGUCUUUUGAGAUCCUGACAUUUCUCCUUUUUGUUCGCUAAACCAGCAUUCCUAGUCUUCUCAAGAUCCUGCUUAAGACCGUCAAUCUUACUCCUAGAGUUAGUCUGGGCAUUAUUUCUCCACUUCAAGAGUUCAAUUCUGCAAUUCCUAAUUUUUCUAGUCACUUUGAACAAAUUUGAGCCCUGUUCCUCCCUACUCCAGGCUUGCUCCACUACUUGCUGGAUCCCCUCUUUUUGGAGCCACCUCUUGUCAAAGUAAAACCUCUUUUUUUUCCUUUCUAUCCCUGGAUUGGUGUCUAGCAAAAGCAACGAGUGAUCAGACGCUAGAGUCUCAAUGUGGUGACACUUAGCACUCUCAAAAUCUUGGAACCAAUCCAUACUACCCAAGGCUCUAUCAAGCCUUUGACGAAUCUCCCCUUCAUUGUCCCAGUGAUUGCUCCAAGUCCAAGGGUGGCCUUCAAAACCAAUAUCAACAAGACUGUUCAGCUCAAUGAAAUGUCUAAAGUCCAUAAAACUACUCUCCUCCCUAAACACCCCCCCCACUUUUCUUCAUUGGACAAAAUGUCAUUAAAAUCCCCCGAGAUCAGGAAUUUAGACCCCCACAACCUACUUCUAUCCGUAAGCACUCUCCAUUGUUCCUUCCUGAUCCCUCUAUCACAACUAGCAUACACUCCAAUGAACCACCAUGCCGCCUGAGAUUCAUUACCUUCAAUCUUAGCUUCGAUAGUAAAAGCAGUAGUGACCACCUCUACAAUUUGUGUAUCCUUAGUCCAAAGUAAGGCCAUCCCCCCUGUUCUAUUCAUAGCUUCCACGGUCACACUGUUAUCUAGCCGUAACCUUCUAGCUAUUCUAUCUAUGACUGCCUUCCUGUUCUUAGUUUCACUUAGGAAAAAAAUAUUUGGAGAGGAGAGGUGAUUAACCUCCCUCAGCUGGGGAACUGUCAAGGGACUCCCCACCCCUUGGCAGUUCCACACCACAACUCUCAUUUACACCUGGAGGUCCCAUUAAGGAAGGACCUCUCCUCCUUUUCCUUAUCCCCCUCAAAAUACAGCUCCUCCAUCUGUUUAGUUUUUUUCCACUGACACGUAUCCUGAUUUGUUUCCUCCAUCACUUCAUCUCUAAGCAGGAUCUUCCUCUUCCCCACUUUCACCUGAGAAUUUGCAUUACCCUGUAUCACCUGUAGAGGACUUCUGGUUCUAGCUGGAGUCUUUAACUUUCUAAAAGUUCUCCUGGUCUGUCUGUCCAGUAACCCCACCAUCUUAGUAUCACCUGGGGUUUCCUGAUGAAACACUACUAGCUCUGAUUCUUUCUCUAAGACUCUAGAUUCCUGGAAUUGGUUGUGCACUACUUCAACUAAAUCCUCCUCCAUCUCUUCCUCUAUAUGAGAAAGCUGGAGAUCUUCCCCUCCUUGAUUAAAACGAGGUAACUCUACGUCCUCCUUGUCGCCCAUCACCAGACCCUCAAUUCUACUGUGAGAGACUACCUUAAGAGCCUCCUGUUGAGUAGAAAGUCCCCCAACCCCCUCCAUACUAUGAUCCUCCCCUACUCUUUCACCAUCCUGAUUACUACCCCCACCACUGCCAGUGGCCUUAAGGACCUCCAGCAGACUCUGAUUGCUAUGCCUUUUACUUUUCUCCUGUUCGACCAACUCCCCAUUCCUAAAGGCCCAGUAACGUCUAUCACUAUGUUCAGAGACUCUAGCAUUUUUUUUCUGAGGGGAGACCCUGACAUUUCCGGCUCUCAUCCAGGGACCAUACUGAUUCUCAUCAGUAUUCCCUCCUAGCAAUCUCCUAUCUUUACAAGACCUUUCACUAUGUCCCACAAUUCCGCAAUUAUAACAGAAAUCAGGACACCUUUCGUAUUUGAAGGCUAUCCAUUUGCCAGUUCCUGCUAUCCUGACCACAGUACCUCUAAGAAGAGGUUUAGAUAGAUCAGCCAUAACUAAAACCUUCAAAUGCCUACCCUCUUUGCCUCCCACCUGAGGGAUCACAACAUCUCUAACUUCCUUAAAAACUCUCCCUAUCUUUCUACCAAUCUCCUUAGACAACCAAUGAACUGGCAAAUUCCAGAGCUGCACCCAAAGAGGUGCGGUCACGAAAGUUUUAUAGUCAUCUUCAAUGCCUUCCACCCAUCUUUUAAGCACAAGCAUCUGGUUAUCUAUAACCCAAGGCCCUCCCUCCACUAUUCUAUCUUUAUCUUCUGAGUUUUGUAAGUUAAACUGAAACACAUUUGGUCCCAGUUCCACCACAGACAGAUUCCUGGGAUACCCCCAGGCCACAGCCACAAAGUUUUUAAUACCAGUGAAAUUAAUGACUUUUUCUCCUAAAACUCUCCCGAUGAUACUGUUUUCACAAGCUCUCACGCCAGUUUGAAAAUCAUCCCCCUCUAGCGUGAGUCCAACCAGCUCAUUCCCUUCAAGGGAAAACUUCUGUAAAAUAUCCGACAGCUCUCCCUCCAUGGAAAGCUCAUAAAAAUCUAAGAUGGAAAAAAAACACUCUAUCCACAGGAGAUAAAGACCAGAACCAAAACGUAGAGAACGGAAAAGAGCACAGAAACAAAACAAACGGAAAGACUAAGAAAGAGGAUCGAGACAGAAAAAAGAGCCUGCUGAAAUACCGGACCACAACUGAUAAAAUAUCAUUGCUCCCUUAUACGCUUAAGAAAAACAGGGAAAAAACAGAGCACUGACUCACCUUGUCCAGACAAAAGCUUAUCAUAGCUGAAGAUUGCGACGCUUGAACUCCCUUUCUUCAUGCACUGACUAGCUUCCAAGAGAUGAAGCCCCCCUUAGCUUUGAAACAAACAAUCUCCCGUUCAAUUACUGGCGGAAGAUCAAGCUCCGGGAGUGCGGGAGAAAGCAAAUUUUGAAAGAAUUUGAAAAGAAACAACCUUCCCACCAAAAAGGUGGGUGAGCUCCUAUCCCAAGAGAGAGCACAGCUACCUUAGAGUGAGAAAGCCUCUACGUUAGAGAGAGGAUUUAAGGUGGAUAUUGCCUUUUUUCCUUUCUUCCAUUUCCCUGUUUGUUUCGUUUGUGAUACAUACUAGUAGGUAGCAGUACCUCUUUGAGGGUAAAUGCAAGAGUGCUGGAAGUGAAUUUUUCCAAGCUAUCAUGAGCUUUUCUUAGACAAUCCACCCCAUGAAUCUGUUAAAGGAUGCCUUGUCUACAGCUACAGCCCCUUUUAUCUUAAUCUGUGGAUUUUAUUGCUUCAUGAAGCAUACAGCAGCAGCAACACUGCAAUUAUUCACACUGCAAUUGCAGUGGUACAAGGAUAAACUCAAAUAAAAAAACAUAUAAUCCUAUAUCUAUAUAGCUACAAGCUUACAACCUUGACACCAGAGCAAGAAAAGAAAUCAGUCAACCGAGUUUGUGAGCAGCAAAAUGACUUCCUUCUGCCAUUAGCCGCAAGAAAAAUAGAUGGUCUUUUUAUUUCACACAACAUGGCUUGAUUAAUUUCCUCAAUUCAAGGCUCUUUCACAUCAACCCAGAUGCUUUCUUCAGAUCUCUCCUCCCAUCGAGGAAACUCCUCCAUCUAGGCUGCUGUUCCACUUCCUUCUGAUGACUUUUUGACUUUAAAAUUAGAUUUAUGCCAAUCUAAUAAAGCCUUUUGAGAUUCACCAUCAACUUGAACCUGUUGAGGGGGGCUUUUCUUGACAUUAAGCAGAGAGCAGUAUUUCAUCUUGUCCUUUUCUUUAACCUUGGUUUUCAUUGUAGUAGUUUUAUUCUUUUCCCAACUCCAACUCUGCUGGUGCGGCGCCACGAUGAAUUCUUCAAUGCUGGCUGUUUGUCUUGGUCAAAGUUAUGCAAGAGUUGUCUAAUAAAGCAGAGGAAUUAUAGCGAUUCUUUUCUUCUUGACAACGAGUAGUGCUUGGAUGUGAGACUUUUAAGGAGGCAAGAAUUUUGUGAUUCGCAUACAACUUGACAAAGUGGUUGAUACAUGAUAGUAGUGGUGGAGGUGGAGGAAGGGGGCAACAAGAACGGGAUCUGUAGGAGUGAUGGGGUGCGGCAUUGUUGUGGUGGUGGUGGUGAUGGAGAAGAUGGUGGAUUUUGUUGGGUGCUUUUUAAGGAGUCUGGAAUCCAUGGAUGAUGAUACAACUUUUGGCUUCGGUUCUAUUAGGGCUGCCGACGAGGAUAAGUUGUAUCUUUGGACAGAAAAAUUGAGAAAGCGCAUGAGGAAAGAAGAAGAAUAAUAGGGAAAAAAUUUUAAAAGGGAGAAAAAGGGAAGGAUGAAGAACAAAGGGUGAAAUUACUUUUACAUCCCCAUCUUUUUGGUUUAUAACAAUUACACAAAUAUACUAAUGGAGCGUACUACUCACGCUCUUGAUACACUAUUAGUUUUUUAGAUUUCAUUACCGAUUUUACUUAACUGGAACGGAUAUUGUAGUUUAAAGACUUAAAUGUCCCAUUUUAAAGUUUAGGAAUUGAAAUGAGAUUCCAUGUGUAGUUUGAGAGGACAAAAUGGAAUUAACUUUAUUGUGGUUUUUUGGUGUUGGGUGGGACAAACUUGUUUGGUAAUUCAUGAAACUCGUGUGGGUGGUUGUCGAUUUAGAGGAAUUCAAUGGGUUUUUAGUUAUUUUACUACUCUUUAAGUGCCAGCAAGCAUGUAAGAUACCUUUGCAAUGGGAGAAAGGACAAUGGGGCUUCUUCCAUAGUUAUUAAUUUUCAAAGGUGAUGAAUCAUUGUCUGGGCUACAGAAGACAUUGAGGAACACUUGCGGUGCUCAAAUAUGUAAAAUAGUGAAACGUUGUCAAGGCAAGAAGUCUGUGUAUCUAAGCCCAAGAUGUAACAAAUUUGAGGCCCAAUAUGUCUUCUCAUGUAUUUUAGAAUGAAAAAAUUAUUCAAAACAUUUCUAAUAUUUUGUUAAAUAAAUUUUUUCAUCCUUUACUUUUAAAAUGAUAAUUUUACCUUUCUUACAAAGUUAAAUCAGUAAAAUUUGGUCAAAAUAUGGAUUUUUUUUUAUCACUUUUUAUCUUGAAUUUAUUACAUAACUCACAUAUGAUCAUUUUUUAAGGUUAAAAAGGUUAGAUCCUAUUUGCUGUUAAAUAAAUAACCCAAUUUGUAUUCAAUUUUAAACCUAAAAGUAAGAUCUAAUCUGCAUCAUAUUUAUUUUUCGAUCUCCUAAAAUGGUAAGAUUUGACUCAAUUCAUAUUUAUUUUUCUCCUAAAAAGGUAAGAUUUGACUCAAUUCAUAUUUAUGUUUGCCACUGAAAAUGUAGUAUUUGACCUUUUGCAUAUACAAAAUGACUAUAUGGAUCACGUAAUGAUUUCAAGCUAAAAAGUGAUCGAAAAAUUGAGAUUAGGACAAAAUUAUACUAACUUGAAUUUGUAAGGAACGUAAAAUAAAUAUUUUAAAAAUAAAGGAUAAAAAUUUCAUUCGAUGAAAUGUGAGACGUUUUGAAUAAUUUUUUACUUUCAGAAUUACUAAUGCAAUUUUGUGGGGACUCUUCUUUUCCUCCUCGCAUUCAUCCAUGCUUACCAAAAAGGUAUAUAUUUCUAUUUCAUGUUCGGACCUACUCAGUGUGGGUAAUAAAUGGAGAAUAUAAUUGGCCUCCAACUUGCUGCCAUUAUCAUGCUAUGCUUGAAGGAAAACCAACUCUCAAACUAUAGGCUUGGUUUGCUUGCGUAGGUCUUCAUGCAAUGAAUAUGACUGCCAUCCUGUUCUCUUUGGUUUGGAAACUUGGAAUGAAUUUAACUGCUAUCCUUUUGUCCAAACUGUAUAACUUUGGUGUGUCUAUACUUUCCAAAAUUUCCUAAAGCUCUUCUUCCUGCAAGCAAAAAUCAAUGUCAGAAACUAAAAUAUUGAAAACAUUGAAAAAUUUUAGUUUUUACUUACAAUGGUAGUUUUUUGAUCUUACACGUUGUGGCCAAAAACAGGCCGCAGCUUGUGGUGCCAUCAUGUCCAUCUCUCACAACUUUCUGUAUCACUGACAAGUGUACUGAAUUUCGUUAAAGUACAAUUCUCAUAUGAAAUUCUGAUUAAGAGUUAUGACCAAAAUGAGCAAGUUAUAAUUAAGAUUCUUUCAUUAGCAUUAUCUCAUUGAGGGUUAAAGAUUAAAAGAAAGAAUUGAAUUCUUUUAUAAUUUAUGAGUUAUUUUUUACACAACGCUGCCCUAAAAGUUGAGCCAUGUUUUAUGCCAAAAGUUUCAGUGUGCCUACUUAUGGAUAAAAAUAAUCGUUGCCAAAUCCCAUGCGGUUUUGACAUGGACGUUGAUUAAGUUUCUUCAGAGUUUCAAGUCAAGCCUUUUAUUUGAUUGAGGUUUCUUGGUGCUAACAUUGACAUAGUCUAUAUGAUGCCUUCUUAAAACUUCAUGGAUACAAGUGCAAUUUAUCUGUUUUGCUCUUCCAUGAAUGACAUGAAAGAGCUUAUGUGCAUAAAAUUGUUUGUCUCGAUUAAAUAAUUCAUGAAUUAUAAUGAAUGGUAUCACCAAAGUGACCUUUAUUAUAUUUAUAGAAUUAUUUAACGUGGAUCGUGAGAUGUUCAUGUUUUGAAGUUCUAUGUUGAUUUUCAACUUGGUUUUUAUCAAAAGUUGAAAUUGUUACUUGAGAUAUGAACCUUUGGUAUAAUAUUUGGGGGUAGUUUUCUUGGUUCAUGUAUUUAUAAAAUAUGUCAUAUAUUUCUUUUGUCAAUGAUUUCAAAGACACAAAUAAAGUUUUUAAGCAAAUUGGACAAAGGGUUUGGGAUUUCUUUUGAGGAAACAAGUUUUAGUUUGCCAAUGUCAUAGUUAGAUUUAUUAUAUAUCUAUUGACGUGAAAUUUUGUUUCAAUUGAAUGACUUAACGGAUUAUUACAAUUAGUACCACCGAAGUGGCUAUUGUUUUAAUUCAUAAAAUUAUUCAAUAAGGAUUCUGGGAUGUUUGUCUUCUGAAAUUAUUAUCAUAAUUACCUGCCUGAAGGAGGUAUUUAUGCAUAUUAAUUUUGGAAGGGUUAAGUGAUCACCAUGGAUAUUUAUGGUCAUACAGUAUUUAUCUCAAUUAAAUGAUUUAUUGAAUUAUUAUAAUUGGUACACCAAAGUGGCCAUUAUCAUAAUUCAUAAAUUUAUUAAUAAGGAUCCUGAGGGGUUUGUCUUCUAUCAUUGUAUUAUAGUUAUCUACCGAAGGUGAUAAUCAUAUAUAUCAAUUUCAAAAGGGUUGAGUGUCCAGUGAGGGAAAAUUAUGAUCUCGAAAAGGGCCUAUCUAUUUGAAGUAUAUCAGUUCUUCUAAAGUUGUCUCACUGUUUUACUUAAGUGGGAGGUUUAAAUAUACUUUCGCUCCUACGUGAAUAUUGCCAUUAGUUGUUCACACGUCUUUAUUGCACAAGUUGUAUGAUUAUAUCUUCGUAUAUAAUUUUUUUUUUAAAUUUGCAAUAUUUGUGUGAACAAUUGUCAUUUAUUAUUAUUAUUUUUGGCAAUAUUGCUUUGAGAUGGAAAAGUAGACUCGAGUAUAGCACUUGACUUGGUUGAUCUUGUUAUUGUUAUACUUCAAGUAAAGUUACUAAAGUUCCAGAAUUACAGUUUAAUGAAAUAAGACUUGUUUUAAAGGAUAAAUUAAAAUAUUAAAUUUAUGUAGAAAUUUGCCCUUUGGCAUUUUUCAAAGUACCAUGGUAUUUCAAAUUGUUGAUCAAAAUUUUGUUUGAGUCUAUUGAGGAAUAGUUUCAAGAAUAUGGAAGAUCUAAAGUUAUAGUUUCAAUGAGCAUUAAUAGAUAGUGUUGUUUGCUAGAUCAUUAGAGAAGAACUUUUCUUCUUGACCAUUAUAAAGUACAAUUUUUAUGGUUCACCAAAUUUGAAGGGUCCACAGUUUUUCAGUGUUUGGGGUUUAAUUUUGUGUUUAUAUUCAAGUGUCAAUAAGUGGUUGACAUGUAUUCUCCAAUUGUGGUGAAUAAUAAAUGAGGGGAAGUUGAGAAAAAUUCCAUGGGUCCAACUCAUAAUUUUGAACGUCAGAAAAUUUUAACACUAAGUAAAGACUUAUACAAAAAUAAGACUUAUAGAAUAACAAAGAUGCAAGAGUUCCUAACUAUUAUGUUAGAGUACUGUUGACCCUAGCAUAUACGGCUAGUUUGAUUGUUUGAAAUUUGAUUUCUUUGGCCGGCGCCUAUGGUGGUGUAGCCAGCCCUUCAGCAGAAGGCUGAAGGGCUUGCCUCCCCUUCCAUGAAAUCCUUUGCAGAAAUUCUGAUGCAGCAUCCUAAACAAUCAGUGGCUAAGGAUGAAUUGUUGCAGGCUUUCUUGUUGUCUCAUCAAUCAUCCAUAGCUAAGGAUGUCUCGAGCUUUAAGAGGCAACUAGUAGUGUUUUUUUUUUUUUCUGAUGGUGAUAUUCAAGUUCUUUAUGCUCCUUUCAAGUUUGCUUUGGUGGGAAAGUUUUCACGAGGAUGACUGAACAUGGAUUCUCUAUGGAAACAAUUCAGGCUGUAGGGUUCAAGGGAACGUUUAGUCUUGGCCUUCUUAAUUCUCGUCAUGUGUUGAUUCAGUUUGCUCUGGAAGAGGACUACUUGCACUGUUGGCUUUUGGGGGUUUGUGGUCUUUUUAGGGUUUCAUCAUGAGGGUGUUCAAGUGGACCUCUUCUUUCUCGGUCGAUGCGGAAUCCUCCAUUGUUCCAGUUUGGGUGUCACUUCCAAAUCUACCCAUACAUUUUUUUUUGACAAGGGGCCUCUCUUUUCCAUCGCAAGACUAAUUGGCGAGCCAUGAAGGUGGACGCUUCGACUGUCACUUUGAGUAGACCGAGUGUGGCUCAAUUCUGUGUUGAAAUUGAUCUUCUCCAUGAUUUACCGGACAAGAUUUGGAUUGGAAACGGCUCACAAAGGGGUUUUUGAUAGAUGAUAGAAUAUGAGAAUUUGCCUCAAUUAUGUUCUGCUUGUAGUAGGUUAGGAAACAAUGUUUCUUCAUGUUGUAUGGGGCUUCCAACUAGUGCAGAAAAUGAGAAAGCACAAAUUCACCAAGGCAAAGAAUGGAUACCCAAGCAGAAGGAAACCGGAGAGCAGGAUAUCAUCCCGUCGGAUCAACCAGCAAUGGUAGGGUCUUUGAAAAUGGUGUUCUGGGUAAAUCCAACUGCGGCAACUACUAGCUCCUCUAGACUAUGGGAGGAGGAGAAAGAGUUGAUCCCUAAGGGCGUGGGUAAGGGCGGGCAUGUUUUAGCCCACACAAAGGAAGAGAUGCCCUUGGACUUGUGACAGGUCACUACGGUGCAGCGAACUUCGGAUGUUGCAAUAAAGGGGGAUGGGAAGGUACCACGUGUGCUCAAGUUCUUGGUGGAAAGACCAAGGGUUUUUCAAACACAAAUGCUUUCAUGAUUUUAGAGAAUCUAGAGGAGCAGCGUACAUCAACCAAGCCUGAUGGCAUCAAUUGGUAGCAGCCUCUAUGUUGGAAGUCUAGCUUGUUGUCGCCAGUUAAGAAAUUGAAGGUGGAUAACGGAAGACGGUGAUCAAUGGGGGAUGGCUCAAGUGAAGUGUCAUUGGAUGAACUCCAACAGUUCCAGAGAGAUUUGGAGGGUAGGCUUCGGUCCACUAGUAUUAUCUCCAAUCCUCACCAACUCUUUUCGGAUGCUGACCGCUACAGGCGAUUGGUGACAGACCAGCAACCGGUAACACAGUUUAAAAAACGUGGCCGGCUUUCUACAAAAGACAGGCGUGAUAAUUCGAGUCUACUCCAACAAGGGAAAAUCGGUUGCAUGAAGUGUAGAGAAAGAUUAGCUUCGGCACACAGCAAAAAAUCUGGUACGCCAGUGAUUCCAACUCCAGCUAACGAAUUGUUGAAUUUUUUAUGGUUGUACCGAUAACCAUGUUGAUUUGGAAUAUACGAGGGAUCUCAUAACAAAAUUCCUUGUGGUAUUUGAAAGAGUUAUGUUCAUGAAACCAAGUUCAGUUUUUAGUGAUUAUUGAACCUCUAACUAUCUCGACUUCAAUUCAAACGUUUAGAAUCAAGCUCCAGUUUGAUUUUGCUUCAUACUUUUUGGAGGGCAGAAUAUGGUUCUUUUGGCAACACUUAGUCUGCUCCUUUCUUCCUCUUGUAAACCAGCUAGUGCAUGUUGACAUUGUGCUUUCUUCUUCCUUAAAGUUCAUUUUAUAGCAGUGCAUGGCAAGUAUUCUAGGUCAACAAGGCAGCCCAUAUGGAUAGCUUUAGAAGCCAUUGCUAGGGAUAUGGAUGCGCCUUGGAUGGUAGGGGGUAUUUUAACACCAUUACUUCAGCCAACGAACGGAGGGGAGGGGCAAAUCCUAGGAGGGGUGAUAUGGAGAAUUUCCAGGACAUGAUUCAGAUGACGAAUCUUUUUGAUUUACACUUUGACGGUUCGCAAUUUAGUUGGACAAAUGGGCAGGCUUGGCAAUGUUUGGAUAGAAUUCUAGUUAACAGUGCACGGAAUUCAGCUUUUAGUCUAGUGCAUCUAUAUCACCUGGUUAGAGGGCAAUCAGAUUAUUCCACGUUGCAGGUUCGGUCAUCUAAUUUGUCCGGGGGUAAAAGUUCUUUCCAAUUUCUUAAUGUUUGGCCCCACCAUCCGGACUUUAAACAAGUGGUGCAACAUUCGUGGGGCCAACCAAUUAUUGUGGGAGGUAUGGUCGGUUUCUUUGCAAAGCUGAUGCGGUUGAGGAAAGCUUUGCGUAAGUGGAAUUGGCACACGUUUGGUCACAGCGGACGGAAUUCGAAGAGGGCGGAAGAAGUGUUGCUACGGCAACAAUAGUUAUAUGAUCAACAUGGGGGUGAUAUGUUGUGAUGUAAUCGAAAUGAAAUUAGAGCUGAACACACGCGUUUGGUAGCAGUUCAACAGGAGUUUUGGUGCCAAAGAGCGUCCAUUAAAUGGUUGCAACAGGGGGAUGCUAAUACAAAAUAUUUUCAUGCACGAGUGAGACAACGAUGCAAUGUGAACUACACUAGUCACAUAAGAAGGGAUGAUGCAAGCUGGAUAGAUUCGCUCACGGAUAUUUAAAAUUCAGCAAUAGAGUUUUUUAGAUCUCUGUUUGAUUAUAGAGAUUAUGUAACAGCCUUGGAGAACAUUCCGUUUCGUAUUCCUUCCAUUUCUCACCAACAUAGAAAGGAGCCAGAUUCUCUACCUUCGGAGGAGGAGGAGGAGGUGGUAAAAGAGGUAGUGUUUGGUAUUAACAAGGAUAAUGCAGCGGGCCCGGAUAGCUUUUCAGUAUUAUUUUAUCAUUCUUGCUGGGACCUAAUUAGAUAGGAUAUGCACACGUUUGGUCACAGCGGAAUUGGCACACGUUUGGUCACAGCGGACGGAAUUCGAAGAGGGCGGAAGAAGUGUUGCUACGGCAACAAUAGUUAUAUGAUCAACAUGGGGGUGAUAUGUUGUGAUGUAAUCGAAAUGAAAUUAGAGCUGAACACACGCGUUUGGUAGCAGUUCAACAGGAGUUUUGGUGCCAAAGAGCGUCCAUUAAAUGGUUGCAACAGGGGGAUGCUAAUACAAAAUAUUUUCAUGCACGAGUGAGACAACGAUGCAAUGUGAACUACACUAGUCACAUAAGAAGGGAUGAUGCAAGCUGGAUAGAUUCGCUCACGGAUAUUUAAAAUUCAGCAAUAGAGUUUUUUAGAUCUCUGUUUGAUUAUAGAGAUUAUGUAACAGCCUUGGAGAACAUUCCGUUUCGUAUUCCUUCCAUUUCUCACCAACAUAGAAAGGAGCCAGAUUCUCUACCUUCGGAGGAGGAGGAGGAGGUGGUAAAAGAGGUAGUGUUUGGUAUUAACAAGGAUAAUGCAGCGGGCCCGGAUAGCUUUUCAGUAUUAUUUUAUCAUUCUUGCUGGGACCUAAUUAGAUAGGAUAUGCUAUUGGCAGUGGAGGAUUUUUUCUUGGGAGGCAGGCAGUUAAAAGGUUUCACUAGCACAAUGGUGAUUCUUAUCCCAAAGAAGACAGAUGAUGUGAGAUGGUCAGAGUUCCAACCUAUCAGUUUGUGCAACAUGAGUUCCAAAAUCCUGUCGAAGAUACUGGUUAACAAGAUCAAUAGGGUACUGCCCGAUAUAAUUUCGCCGUUUCAGCCUGGUUUUGUACCAAGCCGACACAUAAAUUAAGGAUAAUAUCUUGUUGGCUCAAGAGUUGUUGACUGAUAUUAGCAGGAAGCUGAGAGAACUGAAUGUCGCUCUUAAAUUGGACAUGGAGAAGGCCUAUGAUAAACUGGACUGGUCUUUUGUUAUGUCCAUGCUCAGGGCAAUUGGCUUUGGCCACUGGUAUAUUGAUUUGGUUUAUCGCUCUCUGUCGAACAACUGGUUCUCAAUUCUGAUAAAUGGAGAACCGGUGUGCUUUUUCAAGUCAUAUCGGGGAGCACGUCAGGGUGACCCAUUGUCUCUGGCUCUGUUCACUAUAGCGGCCAAAUUUUUAAAUUGGGGAAUUCACCAUUUGCUGAAAAUUGGAAGGCAUAUGUUCUACAACGCUGCUGGAGGUCAGAUCCCUAUGCUAUCAUUUGCAGAUGACACAAUGAUCUUCACGUGUAUAUCCCGACAGGGUUUAAGAUGAGUGAAAGACUUUUGGAUUUGUAUCAGCGGGUUUCGGACCAAAGGAUAAACAUCUCAAAGUGCUCUUUCAUUUGGUCCCAUAAAUUGUGUCAGUCAAAAGUUUAGCUAGUUAGCUCUAUCUUUGGUUUCUGUAGAGAACAAUUGCCUCUUCGAUAUUUCGGGGCUCCCUUAUUUACAAGUUGCCUGCAAAGGAGGAUAUUUGAUGGAAUUCUAGACAGGGUAAGAGCCCGAAAUGUAGAGCUGGAGUUGUAGGUUUUUGUCGCAUGGAGGGAGAAUAAUCCACCAAAUGCAAAGGUACCAAAUGCAAAGGUACCCAUGCAUCUCAAAUAUGGUUAAGGCAUUUGGGAUGAAAUUAUGGGUGAGACUAUGUGAGGGUAUUUUGGUUUGGGCAAAAUUCAUAUGACAAAAAUAUUGUCGGCAAGUGCAUCCUAUGUUGGUAGAGGGGUCAAAAGGGUCCAUUAUUUGGCGGCAGCUGUGCUCUGUACGAGAAGAGGAAAAGUAGAUUUUUUGGCAAGAAAGGGACGCCUUGAUAGAGCCUCUGAGUGAGGCUUGCCAGCUGCAACACUAUCCUCAAAUGACCGUGGCGUCUUUCUUUCAAGGGAGGGAGUGGGAUGUUCGAUGGUUAUAGGAAUGGGUACCUUUGCAUUUGGUGGAGAUGAUUCUGAAAGUAGCCUUCUGGCCAUCUUGCAAGGAUGUUUUACUAUGGAACAGCUGUCCCUAUGACUUGGCACGAGAGAAAUGUGGUUCUUCACUUGUAUUGUGAGAGGUUUGGAAUUCGAUGCUACUGGUGAAGAUCUCCUUUUUGGCCAGAAGAGUAGUGAACAACUUUUUGCCGCUUGAUAGUAUUCUGUAGUGUCAUGGAGUUACCUUAGUGUCAAGAUGCCAGUGUUGUUCAUCGCUGGAAACAAUUCGACAUGUUUUUUUUGACAGUGCUAUGGCCCAAGAGGUGUGGAGGUACUUUUGCUCUCUUUUUGGGAUUCGUUUCAUUCAACCUUAUAAUCUAGGUGUCGUUAUUAUGCACUAGCUUUUGUCGAUCGAUAAAGGGCAUCCAUACCAUGUCAGAGGUCUAGUCCCGAUAAUUGUGGUGUGGUUUAUUUGGCGUCAGAGGAAUGCAGCUAGGUUUGAUGGGAUUCAGAUGGAUGUGGAGUGUAUCACUAGGGGGGUGCUCCUUUUCUUAAAGCUGUUAGGAACUGCAACCAGGAUUGACAAGAAGUAGCUAAUAGGGGAUUUAGAUUCGCCUAUAUCUCCUUUCUUCAAAUUUAAGUGUUGCAAAAGGAAAGUAUGUAUUCCAAUAAAAUGGACGGCGCCAAAAUCGACUUCCUUUAAACUUAACACAGAUGCUAGCGUAAAUAAUAGAGGGCAGUUGGAGGGGGGUCAGUUGGAGGGGGGUCCUUCGCGAUCAUCAAGGCAAAAUCAUCAUGACAUUUUAUAAGGAAUUUGGAGACAUGUUGGUGCUAAAGGCUAAGGCCCAAGCUUUGCUUUAUGGGUUAGAGUUAUGCUGCAGUGGGGGCUGGAAUCGGAUUGAAGCUGAAGUGGAUUCAAAGGCUCUCUACCUUUCAAUAAUAUCAAACCUGUCAUCUACUUGGCCACUUUGUAACAUCAUUCGGAAGAUAAAGGUCCUACUAGAGAACCAAAGUGGGAGCUUACAUCACAUCUAUGGGGAAGUGAAUGCGAUGGCAAAUGCCUUGGCGGGUCUAUCGGCUAGCAGCCAGGGGUUUUUUAGUUCCUUGUCAAGUAUACCACAACAUAUUCAGUCGCUAGUUAGGCUUGAUAACUCUUCUUAUGUAGUAGUUAGACGUAUCGAGGAGUAGUACUUCUUGUUUCACAGCUUUUCUCAUGUAUCAGUAGCUUCUCCUUUUCUGAUUAUUAAUAAAAACUAGGUGGCGCCCAUCCCCAUGUAUGGGGUUCGGCCAAAAAAGAACUCAUAAUUUUGACGUUAAAAAUACUAAAUGUCAAUUUCAGGGUGAUUCAAGUUUUAUGAGUUCAAGUUGUAUGAAAAAUUAACAUAAUUUAUUUUUCUUUUGUUUGUUUUAAAUCCUUCAUUUGUUAGUUGAUAUUUUUAUCUAACUUUUGGGGUUUGAUAAUAUGGUAUCUGUCAUUGGUUAAUGUCAUUGAUAGUACAUACACAAAGUCAAAUAAAGGGGAAGGAAAUGUUAAUUUUUAAAGGCAUGAAUUUUCUUGCAAUAAAGAUUUUCUAAUUAAUGCCCACUUAUUUUGGACCCUAUUACUUAUCUUAUGCUAUAAAAAGUUAUCACUUCUGUAAUGAUUGUAGGGUCAAUAAAAUUCUUGACACUCUAAGAUGAAUAGUGUGGUCAAAUGAUUUUAAAAAAUGCUCAUAAAGAUAUGGUCAAGUGUAUUACGAAUAGUUUUUGUCUAAAUCUCUUUAAAAUGGAACAUGAUAUAUAUAGCCAUAUGUAUCUUUAGCUUGCCAAACAAUUUUGUUCCAAAAUUUUCUAAUAAGAUUUAGAUUUGGAGAAGAACUAGUUUCAAAUACAUUGUGUUUGGAAUUAUCUAGUUGAGAAAGAUCAUAUGUUCAACAGAAACUUAGACGUUGUAUCAUAUAUGGUAUGUUUCUGUAAUUAAGUUUUUUAAAGGGCCUUUAUGGAGUUACAAUUUUUCACUAUGGCAUUUGAUAUCAUUCUUAAGGCCUGUGGGAACAAAUUUAGUUUUGCCCAUAUUCUAUCGUUUGGUUAAGAGAUAUUAUUCCAAGAACUUUGAUGUAAAAGAUCUUGGGGGAGCUAGCAUACUUUUGAUAUUGUGAAAAUAAAGAAUGGUUGGGACUUAUCCUUUACAUUGAUUAUAUACUUAAAGUCAAAUGUGAAACUACAUGUCAAUUUGUCUCAAAUGGCUAAAGAUAAAUUGCGGCUAAAAGCAAUACAGUAAAAAUAACCUUUAAGAAUUUCAUGAAAAAUUUGAUACAAUUUGUAACGAGUAAUCUUUAUAUUAGUUUCUUGUAUAAGACCCGAUAUUAUCUACAUAGUAAUUGUGUUGGUGGAUAAAUUUGGCAAAUAUUGGUCUAUGCAUUAUGUAUUUGCUAAUGAAAUAAUAAGGUUUAAGAACUAAAGAUCACUUGUUUUUCUUUGAGCAUUCGAAAAUCUUAAAUGUAGUUUAGACAGAUAUUGUACACACUAGUCUUAUAGGGCAAUUAAGUUAUUUAAAAUCCUCUAGAAUGGCGGUUAUAUCUGUCUUAAUUUAACGCUCAAAGGGCUCAUGUUGAGCAUGUUUUGUUUUAAGGGCUUAUGUUUUUUUUAUUCUAUUUCUGGAUCAAGUUUGAUGUUUCCGCUGCUGUGUUCGCAAUAAUGAGCACUAAACUUUGAAUUGCCUGAUAUGGAUGUUUAUAGUUUUUCCAAUUUUUUUUAUGUAAAGUAAGGGAAUGGGUUUAUAAGUGUAAUGUGGUUUAUGAAUUCAUUACAAUGAUUAAACAUUCAGUAAUUAUUAACCAAGUCACUUACACCAUAAUAGUCUGACAAAUAUUUCAAAUGUGUGGUAUGUUUUAUAUGGUUGUACUUGGUCAGUGGGAGUUAUAAAUAACUCAUAACUCUCAUGUAUGUAGUUUAUAGUUAUUUAAGUUGAUAAAGUUUUCAUUCCUUGAUCUAUGCAGUUAUCAAUAUGAUUUACUCAUAUAUGCGCACAUUUGAGGAUUAUACUGCACAGAACUGAUAUUAAAUAUUCAAUAAAAGCUAUACACUAAUUGCUUCAUAUGUGAAGUGCUUUCGGAUUUGAAACGGUAAAGUGGACGAAGUCCUACGCAUGUUUCCUUUGUGAAGUGGCUUCAGUUUAUAAGCACUAAAGGGGACGCCAAUCUUGUAUAGAAUCGGUUUAAGACUAUGAAGUGGACUGAAUGUUACCUUGACUUGAUUAUAUUUCUUUUGGAUCAUGUGAGUCAAAUCACAGCACUCUUUAUCACACUGGAAUUUGGGUCUAUGAAGUAUUAGUAUUUGUAAUUAUGGAGGUCCUAUAUUAAUAAAUGAUGUAAUAACAUCUAUAGAUCGAUACAAGUACUCUCACUGGAUAAUAAUUGUUUGUUUUGCAUAUUUUAAGCGUGUUUAUUUGAUUACUAUUGGUGUGAAUAAGGGUUUUUAAGGAUGAAACUUGCUCUUCAAUCUUCUAUAUUUACAAGUUUCAUUUUAUAAUCAAAACUUGCAUUUGAGUAGUUUAAUGUGCAAAUUUGGUUGCAUUUGUAGGAUUUGAAAAGCAAUGAUCAUUUUGGAUCAAGGAGGAUUCAUGCAAUUAAGUUGGACGCAAUUCAAGGAUGAUUUGGAGAAUAUUAGACCAACAAAUGUAGUUCUUUAGGCUUAAAACGCGAUCUCAAUACGUGGGCAUCUCUAUUUUUAUCUCCUUGAUGAUAUUGGAGUAGAAAAUGACAAAAAAAUACAGGGGAGGCAAUACACACCCUGAAUAUGCAACCUUGAACAUGCAUAUUCAGCAUGCGUAUUUUGAAGAUGGCCGUACAAUUUGCACUGCCAAUUGCUCAGCUUUCACAUAGCUUUUUCAACUCAUUAACAGAUCAAUUUUGGCUACAUCUUACAAAAGUAACAUUAGAAACUCAAAGAAGCAUCUUUUGGUGAGUUCAAGACACAAGUUGUACAACUUUAACAUGAUUGAUUGGAGCUUAAUUCAUCUACAAAUAGAGGUCUUGGAGAACAUUUUUCAUAACUUUGGAAGGCCAGAGACACUAUCAAAAUAUAGUUUUUACUAGUUUUUUUUAGUUCAUUAGUUUAGUAUAGAAUAAUAUAGUUUCCAUCCAUUCUUGUAUUGCUAAACUUGAAUGAGAUAGAAGAUGAAGAUGGAGAUGCUUGGAACUCAUGUGACAAGAGUGACUUCUCUCCUACCAUUUUAUUUCUUGUAUUAAUUCUUAUGUUUGGCUGCAAUACAAGUCUGAUAUUUGUUUUCAUAUUUAGCACAAUUUAUGUCUAGAGUUAUGGAAGAACUUUCUAUAUUUUAUUUGUGAUAUUGAUGAUAUUAUUUUGAACAAGUUAUUUGGCACUUUUUGCUUAUCUAAACAUGAUUAACUGACCAUUAAUUAUGAUAAUAUUAAGGUGUUAAUUUUAUAAUGAGAAAUAAAAUUUGACACUAGUUUAAGGAAGCGUUAAAUCUAGGGAAUACACUCACGAGAGUAGAAGUGCACCUUUUGUAACUAUAGUGCUUUGUUUCAUGUAAUUUCAUAAAAGAAAUAAACUUGUAGUUAAUUUUAUAACCACAAGAGUAGGCAUGGUUUAAGUACAAGUAUAGUUAAUUUACUACGAAAUUAAGUUUCACAUAUAUUAGAAAAUUACACCACAACUAGCCAAGAUAAUAACAUUCAAUUAACAAAUAAUUUAACUUGCAAGUGCAGUGAGGAAUUCCAUAGCCCUAAGAGAUUUCUAUUAUUAUUUUUAUUACUUUGUUUUCAUGUUUGUAGUGUAGAUUUAAUCUCUUGCAUUUGUGGUAGUCUAAAUAAUAAAGAAAUUCAAAAAUUAUCGGUAAUUGACAAUUUUCUCUUAUGGGAUCGAUACCUAAUAUCCUUGUACUCGAUAAACAAUCUGUAUAUUUGCAAAAAAUGGGUUAUUUAGAUUUCAUUAAAAUUUGGUGCAUAAUAGAAUCUCAUUAAAGAUAUUUUCUUACAGUGACCAACAAAGUUAUGUUUAACUCGAGAGUCACUUUCUAAAAUUAUUUUGAAAUUGACAUUUCAAUUGCUUUUAAACUCAAGUUUCAAUUAAUCAGUUGCCCAAGUGGGAGAAUUUUAGAAUUAUUUUUAAUUUGGGUUACUACUGAUUAAUUUUGUUUUGUUAAAAAUGGAUUAGAUGAAGACCAGUAAGCCCCACUAUAGUAUAAUCCACUACAGUUGGGGCCUAAGUCUGUCUCAGUCAUCUAUUUGGUGUGAUAUGCAAGAUUUAGGGUCUGUUAUUUUAGAUUAGGGUUACCUUAAUAUUGGGAGGCUCCACGAUAGUUAUAAAAAGACCAAGUCCCUCUCUCUCAUCUAAUACUAGCAUCGUAUUGCUAGUGUGGCUCGUCCCAUUGAUAGUCAUUAUACAAAACUUGGAGAUGGAGAGAGAGCCACCUAUACCAAGCACACAAACUAUAACGUGCUGAUCAAGGUUGUUAGGCAUCUCUCCUCGAUCUAUCUUCGAAGAACAAUAUGCGUUUAUAUUAUAAUUAUAUUCAAACAUCUGAUAUUGGAUCCUAAAAAUUCCUGCAAAGUGGUUUCUUUAUUGUGAGCUGCAAUGUGUGUAUGAAUUCUAAGAGUUAUUUGGUGCAAAUGUGCUGAGAAUUUGAUUUGCUUAUAUAGUUGAUGUUAGAAAAUUAGCUUAAUUUCUUUUAGACAUGUUUCUUGUUUCGUGUUGAAAAAACUAGUUUCCUAAUUUGUUUUAGUUACUUGAAAUAGAAACCACGGAAUUUCCUAUUUGUAUAAGUUUAGAAAUUAGAAAUUAUUUUCUAUUCUUUAUGAGAUUAGGAUUAGUGGUUAUUUCCUGUUAUUACAUGGGUAUUGAUCAGCUAAUGUAACUUAUAAAUAGGUGGGUUUGGCAUAAUACAGAGGAACAUACAAGAGCAACAUGUAACCUUAUACAUCGGGUGAGAGAUGAUUCUUGAAUAUGAGAGAUGGUAUAUAAGAUUUGGGUUUGGGUUUAAAUUGUAUUCUUGUAUAGGAUUUUUCUCUCAUAAUGAAGAACAUGCUUCUCUUCAUGGACGUAGGUUCAAUGAUAGGGGUGAACCAUGUUAAAUCUUGUGUGUCAUUUAUCUUUUAUACUUGUGGCUUAUUUGUCAUUAAAUUUUUGUAUUUUUGAUGUCCCAAUAGUUGUUUGUUCCGUACUUGGAUCCUAACAGACUGGUAUUUGAGCAAGAUUCAUGGUUCACGAAUAAUAAUCCUUGAAGUAUCACAAGCAGUUGCUACAAGAAAAAAGUGAUUUAAUGACUGAUAACUGUUCAUUUUGUAUGUUUUUAGUGUGUUUUAUUGCUUGAUUUUUAGUAUGUUUAUUCAUUUUAAGAACUAAAUAAUUAGAUUUUUAGAGAAUUUUUUAUUUUGUGAUUUAAGUAUGAAAAAUUGCAUUUCUAUGGAUUUAAGUAGUGAAAACUUCAUAUUUUACAGGUUUUAAGGAUUCAAUCAUCAAAUGGAGUAAUUGAGAAGAUACUUGGAUAGUUCUUGACAAUUUGAAGUUAAUUUCAAGUGACAUGAAGUCCAAAAUGAAAACGCAAUCAAGUGGCAAUAGAGAAAAGCAUUGGCAACACUGACAUGUUCUAGUAUUCUAGCUAUUGAGUUAUAAGUAUUAAAUUGAGAUGAUUUUUGAAUAUUUUAAAGGUAAGUGUGACAGCCCCACCUUCCCCUAAGGCGAACCAAAGGGGUUAGCGGACUGUCUGCCCAACUCUCGCCAGGACUAACGGUGCAGUUUAGAGCGAUCUAUUGCGUUCCGGAACUUAUAACGCACGUAAACAAGUCAAAAUGGCAAAAUAACCAAAAAUAAAAAAAAAAGAAAUCCGGAGUCGGCCAUAAAUAGUAACCGACCCGUCAGAACCCAAUCAAAUAUCAAAAUACAUACACCACAUAACAUUUAGCAUUUACAAGCCAAAAUGGCAUACAAAAGUGAUACAAAAGUUACUACAUGUAUGGUUUGCCAAAAUCAAAAGUGAAACGGCCCUAAAGGUACAUUUAGGGUUUCGAUUCAUAAGCUAUACAAAAGAGACAUUAAUUUAGCUCAUUCGGCAACCAACUAGCAAGAAUCAUUCCAAAAGUAGUCAUAUGCCUGUAAGGAAAACAAAAGGAAUGGUGUGAGCUAAUUGCCCAGUGAGAUCAUACUACCCAAGCAACCAAGUUCAUGUAAACAUAAAGCUUUUCGGUGAAUAAAAGGCACACAUCCCAUGUGGUGAUAAAAGGAUACGGAUGGCUCUCAAGAGCCAUUUUCCUCGUUUGCAUUUCUUGAUCGGACGUCAUUGACUCUCCAUCAAUGUUCAAAAGUAACCAACCGUAGACUCCACUUUACUUCCAUUCCUUCCACCUAACAUUCCCCAACCGGGCCCGAAAUCCAAACACUUGCAUUGUGGUAUUACUCGAGUAAACCGGAAUCGAGAGUCUCUCAUACUACAAGAUUCCAUAUAACAUGUCCCCAAGGCACAUUAAUUGGCACGACCAAGCCCUCACCGGGUCAAUUCAAUCAAUUACCAAUGGGGUUGAGAUCAAGGAUAACAAUUGUAGUCGUUGGAUACUCGUCCAAAUGACACCAAGUCAUGUGUUUCAUUUCAUAUAACAUUCCAAUAACUUUCCAAUAACAUGCUAAACAAUAAGUGAGAGUGAUAAAGUACACGCUCACUUUAAUCAAUUAACAUUCAACACCUCAAGUUCAAGUAUCAAAAUCAUAUAAUAACACACAAGUGAGUAGUACACUCACCAAGCUUGCAAAUGAGGUUUCAUGCACUUCCGUCACAAGAACGUCGUGAACCACCGUCAUGCCCUAAAGCAUGCAACAAGUAUAAUGAGACUCGAUAAUGAGUCAUAAACCAAUGCCAAAUAUGACCCCAAUAGGGUUCCAUAAGCAUACACAACCAUUAGAGGAAACCAGAAAAUUCAGAAAUGCAAUUCGCUUUGGCCCUGAAAAAUAUAGUUUUUGACCACCUUUUGCGGUAAUGGCACCAAUUGCACUACGAUUAUCAGAUGAAGGUGUAAGAUACACCGUUUCGAAGAUAAAAGAUAGGGCUACAACAUCACAGAAGGUCAGAUGAAGGUGUAAGAUACACCGUUUCGAAGAUAAAAGAUAGGGCUACAACAUCACAGAAGGUCACUCAACCCAGUUUUGAGUGCAACCAUGUCAAAAAUGCAAGAUACUACACCAAAACCGCAAUAACAGUUUCACAGAACGCAUUCUGGUGUAAACUUCAUAACUCAGCCUACCUAAGUCCAAAUCUAGAAUUCCAAUGCCACUCGAAAGCUUAGAAACAAGGCUACAUUUCAUCAGAAGACCUCAACAACCAAUUUCGAAGCAAUUCCAGCCAAAACAACCAAUUACAGGCGCAAUUCUUACAUUCGGACAAAACCAGGAUAGCAAGGGUAAUUUCAACUUUUCUCAUUCUACGCUACUCCGAUUGAGCUAAAAUUUUGUAGGCACCUCUAAAACAUCAUUCCCUACAACUUUUAUGUUUUAAGCCAAGGUCAAUUCGGCCUCUAACUAGUAGCUACAAAAUCGGGCAGAAUGUUCCCACUUAAAACCCUAACUUUCUACAAUUUCUUCCAAAUCAGAAAUUGGUUGCAAUUAAUCACUUUUUCCACCUCCUAGAGUCAUUAAACAUCAUUUUCAAUCAUCAUAGAUAGCAACACAAUCAUGUUCAUAUUAAAACAGAAAAAUCACUAAUAAAUAGAAAACUUCACUAAUCCAACCAAAAAUCAAGAUGUAAUCCAUAAAGUUUCAUCUCAUACCACUACUAAUCAUAAAUUAGGCAUCAUUAAAGGAAGGAAAGUGAUUCUUCACAACUCACCUUAGGAACAAGAGAGAGAGAGCAAUAGGUCCUCUUAACUUUCCAAAUAACUCCACAAAUCAACUCACUAACACUAAUUGAAGAGGUUUUAUGGAGAAAUUGCAAGUUUCAAUGGUUGGUUGGAUGGAUUUGAGUUAAAUGGAAGCAAAACUUGAAGAGUUUCUUUCUUUCUUUUUGAGAGAGAGAGCCGGCCACAAGAGAAGAGAAAAUGGAAAAAUUUUGGUUAAUUUUGUGCUUUAUUUGGUCAAAUAGAAAAGGUGAAUAGUAGUCUUAUUGUAAGAAGCAAUCCCAUGGUGACAUUUGUCACCUUUAUUAAAUGCUUACCUAACUUGUCUCUCUUAUACCAAUCCACUUAACAUCCUCUACUUGUCUCUUAACACCCGGUAAAUUAAUUCCAAUAUCCAAAACUUAAUCUAGUUGGCCGAAUUUUUUCAAACUUUUUGCACUUGUGGGUCCCACUUUCGGUAUACGCUCUUAAUUUCUCAAAACCUAUUCAAUACUAGAAAAAUCAUCUAAAAAUUAUAUCUGCUCCUUAAAAUUAUCUAGAAAUGUUCCUAAUCCCGAAAAUACAGAAAACAAGCCAUGAAAAAUAAUAAAACCUAGAAAAUGAGGAAAAGUACAGGUUCUCACACUCUCUCUCCCUUAAAAGAAUUUCGCCCUCGAAAUUUCUCACCUUAACUCACGAAAAGUUCAGGGUAUUUCUCUCGCAUUUCUUUUUCCACUUCCCAGGUAGCUUCCUCUACCCCAUGGUUUCUCCACAGUAUCUUUACUAACGGAAUCUGCUUGUUUCUUAGCUCCUUGACUUUCCGGUCAAGUAUUUGGACAGGUUUUUCUUCGUAAGCAAGCGAUUCGUCCACGUCGAUCUCCUCUGGUUGUAAGAUAUGGGAUGGGUCGGGAUAGUACUUCUUGAGGAUCGAGACGUGGAAAACGUCGAAAAUUCUCGAGAGACUUGACGACAGGUCUAAUGUAUACGCUACCGCACCUAUCCUCUGUAGGAUCUUGUAGGAUCCAACAAACCUCGGUUGGAGCUUCUUUCCUUUGCCUGCCAUGACACUCUGUAAAGGUGUGACUUUAAGAAAUACGUGGUCUCCAAUCUCGAACUCUAAAUCUUUUCUUCGAUUGUCUACGUAGCUCUUUUGUCGACUUUGAGCUGUUUGGAAUCGUUGCCGUAUCAACUUGACCUUUUCUCGAGUUUCCUCCAUCCAAGGAAUAGUUGUUGGAUCCAGUGCCUUCCUCUCGCCAAUUUCAUCCCAAUAGAUUGGUGAUCGGCAUUUUUGUCCAUAGAGUGCUUCAUAUGGAGCCAUUUGAAUCGACGAAUGGUAACUAUUGUUGUAUGCAAACUCUACUAAGGUCAUGUGUUGACCCCAGUUGCCUCCAAAAUCCAAAAUGCAAGUUCGUAACAUGUCCUCGAGAGUUUGGAUAGUUCGCUCCGAUUGUACAUCCGUCUGAGGGUGAUAGGUAGUGCUCAAGUUGAGUUUCGUUCCUAUCCGAUUGUACAAAAUGAUUAGCUAAGGCCCUUUCCCUAUCCGCCCUAUGCACAGAAGCAAAACUAUCCAAAACAAACCCUAGAAGUCAUGACCUAGAUCGACGACGAGCUAUUAGACCCACCCGACGGAGUGGAUCCAACCUCAGCCUCAGGCCCCGCAUAUGAGUCCUCGUCACUCACGCCCUCGACCACAUCCGCGCAAAGGUUCAAGAUCGCUGCGGCUCAACCCUUAACCUUUCGAGCUCUCUUGGUCUCGCGCUCUUAGAUCUCCCAAAGUUGAGUGCAGAGGUCAUCAACCCUAUCCUCUGCCUCAAGCACGUCGUACUUCAAACCCUUAAUGCGCUCGGCCUGUCUCUCAUUGGCCGCCCUAAGUUGGGUCAACUCGGCCUCAAGUCUCGUAUUCUCUCCGGCCAACUCCUUACGCUCCUCAGCCACUGCAAAUACUAGAGUGUUAGGGUAGGCAUUCUUAUGUCGACACUCGCACCGUCUAAGGCGGUUAGACGGGCUCCAACGCACGACGGCCCCUCCCGGCCGUAUCUGGUACGGUAUCACUGGGAGUGCUCGACGAGGUCUCUCGCCCGGAGGACUAUCACUAUGCUCACCCUGUCCAGCCAUCCUACACCAAAAGAGCAAUUAACCAUAAAUAAGCUUAAAGGCCAUAAACAAAGAACCCUCACAUCGAGCAUUUCUAUUACACCCAGACUAAUUCAAACCAAGGCUCUGAUACCAUCUGUGACAACCCCACCUUCCCCUAAGGCGAACCAAAGGGGUUAGCGGACUGCCUGCCCAGCUCUCGCCUAGACUAAUGGUGCAGUUUAGAGCGAUCUAUUACGUUCCGGAACUUAUAACGCGCGUAAACAAGUCAAAAUGACAAAAUAAUCCAAAAUAAAAAAAAAGAAAUCCGGAGUCAGCCAUGAAUAGUAACCGACCCGUUAGAACCCAAUCAAACAUCAAAAUACAUACACCACAUAACAUUUAGCAUUUACAAACCAAAAUGGCAUACAAAAGUGAUACAAAAAUUACUACAUGUAUGGUUUGCCAAAAUCAAAAGUGAAACGGCCCUAAAGGUACAUUUAGGGUUUCGAUUCAUAAGUUAUACAAAAGAGACAUUCAUUUAGCUCAUUCGGCAACCAACUAGCAAGAAUCAUUCCAAAAGUAGUCAUAUGCCUGUAAGGAAAAUAAAAGGAAUGGUGUGAGCUAAUUGCCCAGUGAGAUCAUACUACCCAAGCAACCAAGUUCAUGUAAACAUAAAGCUUUUCGGUGAAUAAAAGGUACACAUCCCAUGUGGUGAUAAAAGGAUACGGAUGGCUCUCAAGAGCCCUUUUCCUCGUUUGCAUUUCUUGAUCGGACGUCAUUGACUCUCCGUCAAUGUUCAAAAGUAACCAACCGUAGACUCCACUUUACUUCCAUUCCUUCCACCUAACAUUCCCCAACCGGGCCCGAAAUCCAAACACUUGCAUUGUGGUAUUACUCGAGUAAACCGGAAUCGAGAGUCUCUCAUACUACAAGAUUCCAUAUAACAUGUCCCCAAUGCACAUUAAUUGGCACGACCAAGCCCUCACAGACUCGAUUCAAUCAAUUACCAAUGGGGUUGAACUCAAGGAUAACAAUUGUAGUCGUUAGAUACUUGUCCAAAUGACACCAAGUCAUGUGUUUCAUUUCAUAUAACAUUCCAAUAACUUUCCAAUAACAUGCGAAACAAUAAGUGAGUGUGAUAAAGUACGCUCUCACUUCAAUCAAUUAACAUUCAACACCUCAAGUUCAAGUAUCAAAGUCAUAUAAUAACACACAAGUGAGUAGUACACUCACCAAGCUUGCAAAUGAGGUUUCAUGCACUUCCGUCACAAGAACGUCGUGAAUCACCGUCACGCCCUAAAACAUGCAACAAGUACAAUGAGACUCGAUAAUGAGUCAUAAACCAAUGCCAAAUAUGACCUCAAUAGGGUUCCAUAAGAAUACACAACCAUUAGAGGAAACCAGAAAAUUCGGAAAUGCAAUUCGCUUUGGCCCUGAAAAAAUAGUUUUUGACCACCUUUUACGGUAAUGGCACCAAUUGCACUACAAUUAUCGGAUGAAGGUGUAAGAUACACCGUUUCGAAGAUAAAAGACAGGGCUACAACAUCAUAGAAGGUUACUCAACCCAGUUUUGAGUACAACCAUGUCAAAAAUGCAAGAUACUACACCAAAACCGCAAUAACAGUUUCACAGAACGCAUUCUGGUGUAAACUUCAUAACUCAGCCUACCUAAGUCCAAAUCCAGAAAUUCCAAAGCCACUCGAAAGCUUAGAAACAAGGCUACAUUUCAUCAGAAGACCUCAACAAUCAAUUCCAAAGCAAUUCCAGCCAAAACAACCAAUUACAGGCGCAAUUCUUACAUUCGGACAAAACCAGGACAGCAAGGGUAAUUUCGACUUUUCUCAUUCUACGCUACUCCGAUUGAGCUAAAAUUUUGUAGGCCCUCUAAAAUAUCAUUCCCUACAACUUUCAUGUUUUAAGACAAGGCCAAUUCGGCCUCUAACUAGUAGCUACAAAAUCGGGCAGAAUGUUCCCACUUAAAACCCUAACUUUCUACAAUUUCUUCCAAACCAGAAAUUGGUUGCAAUUAAUCACUUUUUCCACCUCCUAGAGUCAUUAAUCAUCAUUUCCAAUCAUCAUAGAUAGCCACACAAUCAUGUUCAUAUUAAAACAGAAAAAUCACCAAUAAAUAGAAAAUUUCACUAAUCCAACCAAAAAUCAAGAUGUAAUCCAUAAAGUUUCAUCUCAUACCACUACUAAUCAUAAAUUAGGCAUCAUUAGAGGAAGGAAAGUGAUUCUUCACUACUCACCUUAGGAACAAGAGAGAGAGAGCAAUAGGUCCUCUUAACUUUCCAAAUAACUCCACAAAUCAACUCACUAACACUAAUUGAAGAGGUUUUAUGGAGAAAUUGCAAAUUUCAAUGGUUGGUUGGAUGGAUUUGAGCUAAAUGGAAGCAAAACUUGAAGAGUUUCUUUCUUUCUUUUUGAGAGAGAGAGCCGGCCACAAGAGAAGAGAAAAUGGAGAAAUUUUGGUUAAUUUUGUGCUUUAUUUGGUCAAAUAGAAAAGGUGAAUAGUAGUCUUAUUGUAAGAAGCAAUCCCAUGGUGACAUUUGUCACCUUUAUUAAAUGCUUACCUAACUUGUCUCUCUUAUACCAAUCCACUUAACAUCCUCUACUUAUCUCUUAACACCCGAUAAAUUAAUUCUAGUAUCCAAAACUUAACCUAGUUGGCCGAAUUUUUUCGAACUUUUCGCACUUGUGGGUCCCACUUUCGGUAUACGCUCUUAAUUUCUCAAAACCUAUUCAAUACUAGAAAAAUCAUGUAAAAAUUAUAUCUGCUCCUUAAAAUUAUCUAGAAAUGUUCCUAAUCCCGAAAAUACAGAAAACAAGCCAUGAAAAAUAAUAAAACCUAGAAAAUGAGGAAAAGUACAGGUUCUCACAGUAAGACCAAGAGCUACAUUUCUUAUUAGAUACGAUAUCUAAUUUACAUGUUUUUGAGGGUCAAAAAGUAAAAAUGCAGUCAUGCAUUCAUGUUGCUACACUCUGGAAAAGGCUGCUGACCAAUUAGGGAUAUUUUGGUUAUUUCUUAGCUUCUAGAGCUCCAAAUGACAUGGUUCUUGAUGUAUUGAAAAUUAAUCUCAAAGGGUUACAAAUUCCACAUUUAUGCAAGAGUUAGUUUGGCCUCUACCAUUGAGAAAUUUGCAGCUCAAAAUUGAUGCAAAAUAGAUCAAUUUUGACGAUUCUUCAAAAAGUGCAAAACUUGCCACACUGUGGAUCCACGGCAUGUUCCACGGAUCUUGCCCCAUGGAUCCAUAUUUCGGCUACGUACGUUGCUCAGCUUUUUUACAGCCUUUUGACCACUUUUUGUGAAAUAAUUUUAGUUGUCUCUGUAGAAGGAAGCAUGGAGAUUUCAAGACGCAAUUUUUUGGAAUGUCAAGGAGCAUUUUUUUUUAUCAACUUUAACAAGUUCUUGAUGCUUUCUUCAUCUAUAAAUAGUGACUUCAUGAUAUAUUUUUUCAACUUUGGAAGGCUAGAAAUCACACCAAAAUAUAGUCUUUUUUUAAAAUUAAUAUUUUUAUUGAUGAAUCAAAACCAAACCAGAAUUACAACGUAUCCCCAACACACCCUGCCGGCUCCUCUUCCCCUCUCAUCCUCCUAACAGAUAACAUGCCUAACUUAUCUAGUCGGACCUCCACCUUUGCUAUUUUUGGGAACAUGCUUAUGUUAUCAUAGAUAACACACCCCUAAUGCGGGUGAGAGACACCCACAUUAGCUAGAAUAUCCGCCACUCGAUUGGCUUCUUUGAAGCAGUGGGAAACUCUUGCCACGUCCUCUACCAGGUCCCAGAUUUGCUCUACCUCAUUUCGGAUCUGCCACGGGCACUGAAAGCAUCGUUGAAGAAUUCCCACCAACACCUGAGAUCCGAUUGAAUCUCCACAUUGACAAACCCUUUCUCCAUACACAUCCGAAGGCCAGUUAAAAGUGCAAGGGCUUCCUCGUGUAAACUCGAUCGUCUUCCAAAGAAUGUUGAGAAAGCCAACAUAAGCCGUCCUAAAGAGUCCCGUAAGAUUCCACCGCCGCCACUCCAUCCUAGAUUACCCUUGGAACAUCCGUUCGUAUUCAGCGUCAAAUAACCUGCCUCCUUUGCCUUCCACCGCACGAGCUGAAAUCUAAUCUUGCCGCCUUGACAUCCCAACCAUUCAUAAAGUUGACGGAAUGAGGUCAUACCAAGCCUCAUAUUAAGAUGAAUCUCCAACCUGAAAUUUAUGUCUGCAAUAAUGGCUUGACAAAUAGUAGUCGGGUGCAUUCGGGUCCCGUCAAACAUCGAUUCGUUCCUUGCCCUCCAAAUGUGCCAGCAAAUGAAACUAGGCAUCAUCGUGAAGAUGAGGCGCCUUUUUGCUGAUCUCGAAGGUGCCAUCCACCACGCCACUACCCUAGCCCUCAAAGAAGACCCCUAAUGCGUGAGACCGUACAAGCUAGUAAAAUUAUUCCAUACAUCUUUAGCAACCUGCCCCUCUAAAAAUGCAUGUUCCACUGUCUCACUUGCUCCAUCAAGACAGCACAAACACUUUGAAGGCAUCAUCUGAAACCCCAUCCUACACAAAACAUCAGGGAAUGGCAACUUACCCAACACCAAACGCAGCAUGAAGAGGGAUACUUUCAAUGGGAUGCGAGGGUGCCAAAAUUGAGAGUGAACGAACGAAGAGCUGCGAGCUUGUUGAAUCUCCUCGAAAGCCGAUGCUAAUGAGAACUCGCCAGAUGAAGUCAACCUCCAUAUUGGCUCAUCAGCCUGCCCACCUCACGGAAUCGGGAGCAGUAAGACAGAAGGAAUUAAGUCAAGAGAGAGGGCCAGUGAGAGUAAAUUUGUGCUCCACUUCCCAUUCUCAAUGAAGUCUUUGAAAGAGAGAGUUGGGCUCACCGUAGCCUUAAGGAACAACGCGCCACUCCCCAACCAAUUAUCAUACCAAAAAUGACAUAAACCCCCAGAAUCCGCCAGACUAUAGAGAGCUCCGCUUGCCUACUAAUGUUUAACAUUCUCCGCCAUGUUCCUGAGGCGUGUCAACUCAGUUCAAUCUGACAUGGGCGAAGGUCUUGAUAAUAUUUAGCCCACAUAAAACUCGUCCAGAGUGAUGCCCCAAUCCUAAACUGCCACCACAAUUUACACGAAAAGGCCACACAACUAUCACUCAACCGUCUAAGUUCCACUCCUCCCUCUUCAACUGGAUAGCAUAAUUGGGACCAUCCAAUUCAGUGAUACUUCGUGCCUUCCUCCAAGAUACCCCAUAGGAAGUUUGCACACACCUUUUCCACCAGUUUGAACAGCGAGGCAGGUAACAUCGCAACUGAUAACAAGUCCACUGGAAUAGACAGCAGCACAUGCCUAAUCAGCUUUCCCUCAAGGGAAAGAAGUUUUGAUUUUCAGGACAGGAUUCUGUUUAAAAUCGCCUAAACUACUUCCCCAAAAUACGAUGAGUUACACCGUCCGAUAUAUAAGGGAAAUCCAAGAUGUAGACACCAAAUUUUUGGUGUUUUAUUAUUUAUUUAUUUGCUAUUCACAAUUAGUUUUAUUUAUUUUUAGUUUUAGUUAUUUUAGCCAUUUUAGCGUAGAAUUUCUCAAAGGAAAAAAAGCAUUCAAAAAAAUAUGAUUUAGUCAUUUGUAAUUUAAAUUCAAUGCUUUCUUGAAAGUAAAAAAAAAGGGAAAAAAAGUGAAAAAUGAUGAAUAAUGAAAAAUGAUGAAAAAGAAAAGAAAAAACCGCAAUUUUGUUAUUUCUAGUUGGUUUAUUUUUGUCCGAUGUUAUUUAAAAUUGUUGUUUUACUUAAUUUUAUUUCUUACUUUUUUUUAAAAAAAAAAAAAGGGAAAAUUGAGUCACAAUUUAGGUCUCCCCGUAC